rnacentral:lncRNA from 1 species
AUUACAUACUUUCACCGAUCCUAAAAGCUCAAAUAUGUGUUGACUGUUUUUUCCCCAAAAUAUCUUUACGAGUUUUUCAAUUGUCUAGUUUUAAGAACAAUUUUUUUACUUUAAUUAAUGUAGUCAAUUAGCUUUUUAAAGGCGUCACAUCUGGAAAGUUAAAUUUAUUUUAGACUGAAAGGAGUAUUUAAUGUAAAUUUUUGAACAUAAAUAUGUACUUUUUAAGUAAAAGCUACUUGCGCAAAUCAAACCCAUUAUUGAGCUUCUGCCUCAGUCCCUAUGGCGAUCCACUAUUUCUUUACUUAAUUAAUUUUGCGUUUAGUUUGAAAUUUAUUGUAAUUUUACGAUUAAAUCUGAAGUUUAACUUUUAUGUUGGCCUAAUAAUUAAUGGGUUUAACGUACUUUCUUGUUUGGGUUCAACACUUUAACCUCAAUGGUCGGAACAAGUUAAUUUGAGAUAAAUUAUUUCACUAUGUAUAUGAGAUAACUUAUCAAUCACUAAGAUUUAAAUACUAGGAUAAAUAAUCCAAGGAUUACUUAAUACCUUCCAACCAAACCUAUGGUGAAAUAAUCCUCCAUUUUAUCUUGAAAUUUUUAUAUCUUAUACUUCACUCCAAAUGACUUCUAAUAUUAUGGAACCUCCGCUUGUCUACUUUAUAUAUAUAUAUAAAAAAAAAGAUGUGUAAGUUUUGUCCGUUGCACUGACAAAUUUUUUAUUUUCCUUUUCCAGUUUUGUGAAUUGAAUUUAAUAUUUUUCCGAAAAAAGUGUUAAUCCUUACUACUACUUUAGAACUUCCUAAUCCUGACAAAUAUUAUAAUUUUCUGCUUCGGUUAUUACAGUCGGAGGAUCCAAUGCAGUAUAAAGUUUUGAAAAUUACUGUCCUUGGUAUCAUAUUUGCUGCUUCAAAUAUUUAAUUUUAAGAUAACAAUGAAUUUAACCACCAAUUUUUUAAUUAGUUAAGGUAACCUUGGGCCAACGGUAAAGUUGUCUCAGACUUGUAGGCCACGGUAGAAUCAACCACUGAUGCUUGGAUGAUGGUAGAUUGCUUACAUUUGCAUUACUUUGGAAAGUGGGGAUGCACUAGACUUUCUUUGUAGUGAAAUUCUGUUGCUGUAAAUGCCAGUUUACCUAUGCUAUUCAUGCAUCAGUUUUGUAGUUUACUUGCCUACUUUUAACUCUUGAAUGCCCUCUUGUUGCAGGGAUCAACAGUGUUGUGGUUAACAGCAAUGAUUCCGAAAGCCAGGCCUCCGCCUUGCAAUCAAACAGGACAGGCUUGUAAUUCUACAACGGGACCACAAUACAUGCUCUUGGUUUUCUCGUUUCUGCUCUUGUCAAUUGGUGCUGGAGGUAUAAGACCAUGUUCUUUAGCCUUUGGUGCAAACCAGUUUGACAAGGGAGGUAGCGAUCCCAACAAACAGACAGUGUUGGAGAGCUUCUUUGCCUGGUAUUAUACUUCAUCUGUAGUCUCUGUUCUGAUUGCCCUAACGGGUAUCGUUUACCUUCAAGACAGACUUGGGUGGAAAAUAGGUUUUGGAGUUCCUGCAAUUCUCAUGUUCUUAUCCGCGUUGUUUUUCUUCCUUGCUUCUCCGUUUUAUAUCAAGCCAAAGGUUCGCUCAAAUGUGUUUGCCAGCUUUAUACGAGUAAUUGUGGUUGCCUUCAAGAAUAGGAAACUACAUUACCCCAAUCAGAACUCUGAUUAUCAUCACAAGAAUGGUUCAGGACCUCAAGUGCCAACGGAGAAAUUGAGAUUCUUAAACAAAGCUUGCAUCAUUAAAAGCCCUGAAGAUGUUAAUCCAAACGGAGUUGCAGCCAAUCCAUGGAACCUUUGCACAGUGGAGCAAGUUGAGGAGCUAAAAGCCCUCGUUAGAAUCGUGCCAUUGUGGUCAACAGGGAUCAUGAUAUCAAUAAACUUGAGCCAAAGUUCAUUCCCACUACUACAAGCUCAAUCCAUGAAUAGACAUCUAACUAAAGGAUUCCAAAUUCCAGCAGGGUCAUUCGGGAUGUUUUUGAUGAUUGCAUUAACAAUUUGGGUAUUACUGUAUGACCGCGUGAUGCUUCCAUUGGCAUCAAAGAUCAAAGGAAGACCAGUUCGUCUAAAACCUAUAGUCAGAAUGGGACUUGGUAUAUUCGUGUCUUGCAUGUCCAUGGUAGUCUCUGGUAUUAUCGAAAAUAUUCGACGAAGAAGAGCAAUCAGUGAAGGGCUGUUGAACAACUCGCAGGGGUUGGUGGAGAUGUCAGCAAUGUGGCUCAUUAUACCAAACAGUUUAAACGGUAUAGCAGAGGCGUUGAACGCGAUUGGCGCCACAGAGUUCUAUUAUUCAGAGCUCCCAAAGAGUAUGUCAAGUAUUGCAUCAGCUCUUUUAGGACUGGGAAUGGCAGUUGCAAAUCUUUUAGCAAGUGUUGUUUUGAGUGCUGUGGAUAAGUACACGAAAGGAGAAGGGAAAGAAAGUUGGAUUUCAAGCAAUAUCAACAGGGGACACUAUGAGUAUUACUACUGGCUUCUUGCUCUAAUGACAGGUUUUAAUCUGCUUUAUUUUGUGGUUUGUUGCUGGCAAUAUGGACCUUCUGUUGAUGUUGACAUCACUAUGAGAAUGAUGGAACCUAGCGACGAUGAAGAUGACGAUGACGAUGAAGAUAAAGAUGAUUUGCCUAAGAAGAAUAAAUCUACACCUGACUUGAAUUCCUGCUAGGCUAUUCUCUUAUUACAUUGUUGAUACAUAGUACUAGUAUUUAUACAGAAUUGCUAUUACAUUUUUAGCUACUACUAGUAUAGUAUAUUAUAUAGUCCACUUUCCCUAAUUCGUUCUUUUCAGCCACCAAAAUAUUCAGCAUGAUUUGAGCAGUAUGCUUAUUUAAUUUAUUUAUCUGAAGAAUCAAAAUAUAAAAAAACUAAUUCAUACUGAUUUAUGAUCAAAUAAUUGAUAAAUUGAUAAUUGAUAAAUUGCGUAACUAUCAAUGGAUAACCAUUUAUGUUGAAUUGUUAAAAAGUCGCUUAACCAAAUUACCUCAUUAUUCGUGAAGAGAUGAAUCUCAAAUAGGCAUUUUGUUAUUUUCCCCAAUUCUGGAGAGAUGCACUUGCAGGCAAUAGUUUUAUGCUUUAUUUUAUCACACUACCAAAUAAUAUGACAAAAGUAUAAUUAGUUUUAAUAUACUAGUCAUUAUCUUUUGAGAACAGAGGUUAAAAAAAAACAGAUCAUUGGAAGUACUAGAGGGCUGGGGUGGGUGGUGGAGUUGGGUUAUUGGGUAGUGGAUGGGGUAGAGUAGAGUAAGAAAAAAAAAUGUUUUUUUUUUAUUCUUUAAUUUUGAAAUUUUAGCAUAUACUUAUUUAAUUUUUUAAAUAUAUAUACUCUUGAGUAAAUUAAAUAAUUAUAUUUAUACCAUUUUGUAUAUAAAGUCCUUGACUUAGAGUUUAGUCUCCUACUUUUAUUUAUGGCUAUCUCAAAAUCUUGGUUAUUCUACAUUGUAAAAGUGUUUGCUUUUGAGCAAAGAUGCAACUUGUGAACUCAUGUACAUGAUUCAUUCGAUUUGUUACCUUGUUUCUAAGUGAUUUUCAUUAAUUUAUUUUUCUAUCAAAUCUUAACGGUUAAACCAAUAAUCAAAUCGAUAAUGAUCAAUAACCGAUAAACCAAUAACUGAUAAGUCAAUAUUUUAAUGGUUCUAUAACGGUUUAACAUCUCUACAAACCGAUAACCAAUAAGUCAAACCAAUAUACUUCAAAACCAAAUCGAAUCGACCGAUACACAACGAAUGACACUCUAAACCCAUCAAUAUUUGUUUUAUUGACAUUUUAAUUUGUUCCAAUAAACUCUUGGAUUCAUUUUGGACCCUUUUAUUAAAAAUAAAAAAAAUAAAAAAUCUUUUUAUUAUAAGUUGAGACCUUGUGAGAAGGAGAUAGUGGGACCAGCAGCAAGGAAAAUAAAUUAGUACUUGUCUUAAAAAUUGUAAAAGAGAAAUAACUACAAUUAAGGAUAAUAAUAAAUUAGGAACUAUAUAUUAAAUUAUUUAUUAAUUUUAUAAAGUAAAGGAAGGGCUUAGAAGAGCCAAGAAUCUCAAGAAAAAUAAAGAAGACCUCUUUUCUUUGUCUUGAUUUUGUUCGAAAGGACCCUCUUAUUCUCAUGACCUGAUCUGGUCAGUACCCAGCCGGGCCUCUUUUGUUCCAAUGAAUUUGAAAACAAAAAUGUCUGUUAUAGGUAAAUGUGAAAUACUUAUACAAAUAAAAAUGCGGGAGAGAUAAAAAAGAUGCAGGGUCGUUUGUCUGCUUGGCUAGUCAAGCAUGGGCUAAUUCAUAGAUCUUUGGGCUUUGAUUACCAAGGAAUAGAGACUUUACAAAUAAAGCCCGAGGAUUGGCAUUCCAUUGCUGUCAUUUUUUAUGUAUAUGGGUACAACUAUCUACGCUCUCAAUGUGCCUAUGAUGUAGCGCCUGGCGGGCUGUUAGCUAGUGUGUAUCAUCUUACGAGAAUAGAGGAUGAUGUGGAUCAACCAGAAGAGCUAUGCAUAAAAGUAUUUGCCUUCCGGUUUAGGUGGACAACCUGGCAAAUAUACAUCUACAGGAAUUAGCUUAUCGACUCCCCGAACAGUACUAUAAGAAUCGGUACUGAACAUCCCGCCUGUAAUUGUACAGGCUCCCAUAGCAAUAACAUAUUUUGGUUCGGGCAUUUGCUCAUAUAAUCUCACAAAAGAGGGGGCCAUUUUCAUUGUUACUGUUCCGGCUGUUAAAAUUAGAUCCGAUUGUGUAGGACUCGAUCUUGGUACGAGUCCAUAACGAUCAAAGUCGAAGCGUGAGUCUUUGGCUAGCUUUUUACUUAUGAGGCGCUUAGGCUUAAGAGCGAGUGCAAAUACUCGACGCCGUGAAUCAAGAAAUUCGGGUGAUAUACAUACGAAGGCGUUGGUCCAUCGGUGCCUUAGGGGAUUGAGUGCUGUUUGAACUAUUGAUUUACGUAAUUGGAAAUAACCAAUUAGGUUUACGGCGAAACCUAGAAAUCGAUCACUGAUCCAAUUUGAGUACCUCUGCAGGAUAUACCUCAACAGAAAACUUAACGUGGAUAAGUAUUAUUAAACAUAUCAAAAUAGUAUAAUAGACAACUAUUAUUAAACGGUGAGAUGUCUUUUUAUUAUAAGCUGAGUAGAUAGUGGGACCAGCAGCAAGAAAAAGAAAUGCAACCUUCCACAUUGAAUGCAAGUACAGCUACACAUUCCUUAAUUAAAUGUACCGAGUUGAAAUUUUAGAUAUAAAAAAUUAUUUAAUAAGGAACGCUUUCUUAAAAGAGAAAAAAAAACUUUCAAACAAAAUCACUUUUUAGGUCAACUGUUUAGACUACUAUUUAUUACUUUUUUUUUUCUUUUUAUUAUGGCCACGCGGGGUUGAAAAAAGGUCCUAAAUAGUUUGCUUUCAAUUAUAAUAAAUACUCUACAACUCUACUGAAAAUUAUAGAAUAAUAAUUAUAGGGAAAAAAAAAUUUGGUCAGAAAAUUUGAUCAAAAUUGGUAAAAUAAAUAUGUUAUUUUAUCUUUUUGAACAUUUUAACCUUUUCAACUUUAAUAUCUUUUAAUUAAAAAUUGACAAAAAGAUCAGUUUAUUUUUAAAUAAAAAAGAUAUUAUAAAUUUUUUAAAUUUCUGGCCAUUUAGCAUUACCCAUAAUUAGAACAACUUUAAAUAUUAAUUGAGAAUUUGAUUAACUCUUGAAAUUUCACCCAUGACAUUUGAGUCAGUAUAGAUGAAUAACACAUCAUUGAAAUUUAAAAUUUAUGUAAAAUGCACUAUAAAUCAUAAUAAUUAAUUUAAGAUAUUUUUAAAAAUAUAUUAGAACUUUAGUUGAUUCUCAAAUUUUUACUUGUGUCAUCAUAAAUUGAGACAGAAAGAAUAACAUAUAUUAUUUGAAAAUUACGUUAAAAAUACUACUCUUUCUGUUCAACAAUACUUGUCCUCUCUUGACUUUGCACAUUUCUUAAGAAACUAUAAAUAAAAGAGUAAUUUUACUAUAUCACCCUUUGAAUAUACUCCCUUCGUCCACUUUUAAUUGUCAUGGUUUUCUUUUUUAGAGUCAAACUAUAAGAAUGUUGACUAACACUUUAUGAUGAAUUUUUUUUUUAUCAUAUUGAUAUGCCAAAAAUUGCAAUUAAAAGUACUUUUCGUAUAUUUUUUUGUUUAAAAUAUCGAAUUAAUGUAAUCUAAUUUAACUUUGAAAAUUAGUCAGAUUGACUUUCGAAAAGCGCAACAUAACAAUUAAAAGUAGACAGAGGUAGUAAUAAAUACAAUGUCUUGAAAAAUAUAAAAGGAAAUGACUAUAAUUAAUGAUACCGAUAAAUUAGGAACUAAAUGUAAAAUCAUACUUUGAUUUCAUAAAGUGGACAAGUAUUGUUGAACAUCCCAAAAUAGUAUAGUGGACGGCUAUUGUUGGACAUAGAGAAAAUAAAUUACAAUACUUUACAUUUUUAUUUUUAAAAAAAUUAUAUAUAUAUAUUGUUAAAGAGUUAUCGCUUUAGCGGUUUUGAUAAUAAACUUAAUUUUUUUAUAUCACGUUAUCCAUUUUUGACAAGCCAAUCAAUAACUCGAUAGUAAAUUGAUAAAUUAUAUCGCUUUAAUUUGAGUAAAUAAAGUCAGGAUUUAGUUUCAUACUUUCAUUUAUAACUGUCUCAAACUCCUAGCUAUUCUACAAGAUUACAAUAUUUGUUUUGAAUGAGAUGUAAUCUGUAACCUCAUGUUCAUGAUUUAUUUGAUUUGUUACUUGUUUCUAAGUGUUUUACCAUAAUUUUAAAAAUUAUAAUAUUUUAAAGGUUAAAUCAAUAAUCAAAUUAAUUAUGAUCAAAUAAUUGAUAAUUGAUAUCUUAAUAAUUCAAUAACAAUGGAACCGAAAUAAGUCACCUAAUAUAAUGUAAAGGUCAUAAAGAGGAUUUAUUCUUUCUAGAUUAAAUAUUACUUCUCUGUCCACUUUUUAUUAUCAUGUUGUGUUUUUCGAAAGUUAAUUUGACUAAUUUUAAAAAUUAAAUUAGAUUACAUUAAUGUGAUAUUUUAAACAUACAAUUUAGAUAAUCAAAAACUACAAUAUAUCACAUUAGGAUUGCAUAUCGAUCGGUUCGAUUCGGUUAAAAUAUUGGCUUAUCAGUUAUUGAUUUACCAAUUUUUGAUCGUUAUCGGUUUAACUGUUAAGAUUUGACAACAAAAAAAAAUGAAAAUCACUUAGAAACAAGGUGACAAACCAAAUGAACCGUGCACAUGAGUUCAAAAGUUACAUCUUGCUCAAAAACAAACAUUUUUACAUUGUAGAAUAACCAAGUGUUUGAGACAACAAAAAAUAAAAGUAGGAAACGACCCUCUAAGUCAAGGACUUUAUAUACAAAAUGGUAUAAAUAUAAUUAUUUAAUUUACUAUCGAAUUAUCGGUUAACUCAUUAGAAAAAACCUCAAACCGUUAAGAACCGAUAAUCCGAUAAGAAAAAAAAAUCAAAACCGUUAUCAAGACCGCUAAACCAAUAACCCAAUAUGAUAAAUCAAUAACUUUUUUUCGAUUCGAAUUAUCGAUUUCGGUUCGAUUUUGAAUAGCCCUAUAUCACAUCAUAUAUAAAUGGUCUAUUCUCUUUAUUUAUCCACUUUCGUCUUGACCCUUAGUCUUCAUCCAUUUAUUGUUACAGUAUUAUAUAGGGAAUUUUUUAAUUAUUAAGGCAAAUCAAAACGAAUCAAAUUAACGGAAUGGUUUUAGAGAAAACUGGAAGGGGCAAGUUUUUUUAAAAGGAGAAAAAAAAAAUUAGAUCAUAGAGAUGUGCCACAUCACUUUCUAUAUAUCUAACUUUAUAUUAUAUAUAGAUGUAGAUUAAAAGUAAAAAUUCUAAAAGUGUAAUUCAUGGAUAAUUAUUCAUUGUAAAAAUUUAAAUAAUAAAGAGAAAAAUAUUUAAAAUAUGUUAUCAUUUUAUAAUUAAAAUAAGGUUAAAAAAAGAGAGAGAAUAAAUAAGUAAAUAAAUAAAUUUAUUAAGAGUAGAAAUUAGAGGGGCGAGUUAUGAAUAGUUACUUGGCAUGUGAUGAGUCUUUGUUGUAAAUGUUCAUCAAUUAGGAGUAAUAAAAUAUUUAUUUGUAAUAAAUUAAGUAAUUUACUUUUACAAUAAAAUAAUAAAUUUAAAUAAGAAAAAAAGUCAAAAAGGAGAAAAAAAAAUAUAUAAAUGGUGGUCAUAGAAAUGUGUCACAUCACCUAAUCUGUGUUUCUCUUUUAUAUUAUUAUAUAUAUAUAUAUAUAUAUUUUAUUUUAUUUUUCAAUUGAGAAUGUGUGGGAGACUACGACCAUCUCCAACCCACCUCUAUUUUACUCUCCAUACUCUAUAUUUGGAGAGUAAAAUAGAGAAUGGGGACUCCAACCUACCUCCAAAUCACCCUCUAUUCUUCAAAUUUGGAGAACUACUAUUCACACUCUCUAUUUCACUUUUUUAUUAUUUUAUUAUUAUUUCUAUUACUUUCUAAUUAACAUAUUAUUUUACAUAUAAUNNNNNNNNNNNNNNNNNNNNNNNNNUUUUUUUUUUUUUAUAAAUACAAUACAUGAUAUGAUAAUUUAAAUACAAGAUAACAAUACAAUACAUAACAUAAUAAUUUAAAUGCAAGAUAACAAUACAAUAUAAUACAUAAAAUAAUAAAUUAAAUACAAUACAUAACAUAAUAAUUAAUUGAUCACAACAAUUUAGAAAUCCGGUAGGUCGUUUCCAGGUUUAGCACUAUUCGAAAAAAAAUUAGGAUAUGAUUCCGAGAAUUGUUGCGAUUGUGGUUGUGACUACAGUUGUGAUGGUAUACGAUAUGGGUUAUUAUUUAGCUGAUGGUAUAUAUCCUAAUAAAUGGUCUACAAUUGUUCAAACUAUUCGUAAUCCUCAUUCCCAACAAAAAAAAUAUUUCGCGAUGAAACAAGAAUCGUGCCGAAAAGAUGUUGAACGUGCAUUCAGAGUUUUGCAAUUAUUGCAGGACUGUCACGUUUUUGGAGAAAGGAAGUGCUACAUGAUAUAAUGACUACAUGUAUUAUACUGUACAACAUGAUAAUUGAGGAUGAACGUGAUCUCAAUGCACCAAUUCAAGAUGUUGUAGAGGCUCCAACUCCAACUAUAGAAAUGGUGAUAGAUGAAAAUCUCCGGUUUGAACAAUUUUUAGCUAGACAUAAAAAAAUUAAGGACAAAAAUGCUCAUUUUGAACUCCGUAAUGCAUUAAUAGAGCAUUUAUACGAGUAACGUAAUAAUUUUGAAAAUUGAAUGUUUAUGUAAUUGUAUGUCACUUUUAUUUGAAUUUGUCCCCUAAUUUAUGUAUUAUAUUAUAUUUUCUUGCAAUUUAUGUUAUUAAAAUUUAGAAUAAAAAAUAAUUUUAUAUCACAUUAAAAAUUAUAUAAAGUAAUUAUUUGGGAAAAAAGAAAUAAAGGAUUUAUAUUAUGAAAUACGAAAAUAAGAAUGAAAUAGAAAUAAUAAUAUAAUAUUGAGAAGAGAGAAAAGAUUCCUUUUAGAGAAUAAAAUAGAGAAUUGGGUUGGAGUUGGUUGUCUGGAAAAAUAGAGAACUCUAUAUUUGAAGAGUAAAAUAGAGGAUUGGAUUGGAGAUGCCUGAGAGGAUAAAUGGUGGGGACCAGCCAGGAAAAGAAAAGUAACUUCUAAUAUCGAAUAAGGUUAUUUUUUAUUUUAAUUAAACAUCUACAUAACAUAAAUUUAAAUUAAUCAAGCUUUUAUACAAAUAAAUGAGUGCAAAUUAGGAAAAAAGGAAAGAACCUUUCAAACUGAAUCAUAAACAAAUCCUCUUUCCUCAGCCUGUUUAUUUUGGUCAAUGGCACAAAUUAGAAUAAUUUGGCUUUCUUAUUUCUUAUAUAUUAUUGCUUUGCUUGCUUCUAUGUUAUAUUUAUAUAUUAUAUAUAAGAGGAAAUUUUGUCUUCUUAUUUCUUAUAUGUGUACAGUAUAUUUGGGAAUUUAUUAAAUUUGUGGGCCAAUAUAAUUUUUCGUAACGUCUUUUAAUUGUAGUUCCCUCCAUAUUAUAUUUCUUUUCAUUAAUGGCCACGUGGGGUUGAGAAAAAGUCCUAACUAAUUAAAUUUCAACUAUACUAAAUAAGUACAAUACAUUAUUAAUAACUUUAAAUAUUGAUUGAAAAUUUAGUUGACUUUAGAAUUAUUACCUAUGUCAUUUAAAUAAGGAAACAUGGAUAGCAUUAAUUAUUUGAAAUUACGUAAAAUGCAUUAUAAUAAUUAUAAUUUAAAAUAUUUUUAAAAAUACAUUAAAACCACUUUUAAAUUUUCAUGUGUUACAUAAAUUGAAACAAUAAUAUACGUUAUUUAAAAAUAUAAUAAAUUACAAUACUUAACCACUUAAAAUAUUUCAAAAUCAUGCCAAUGUAUCUAAUCUAAUAUAAUACUUAAUGGGAGGAUAUAUAGAUGAGAUUAGUUAUGAUGAGAUAAAUUAUGAUGGGAUAAGUUAUGUUGAAAUUAUUUUUUUAUUGAGUGUUUGAUUUGGUUGUAUUCAAAAUAAUAUGAAUUGCAUAAAAAUGAUUUAUUUGUUUACAAAAAUACUCAUUAUGAAUGUCAAAAUAAUGAUGUACAAAAAGGAUUUAAAGAAAUAUUUUUACCAUGAACUUAUUAAAUCCCAAAAUCCAAGCAGAGACAUAACUUAUCUUGAUACUAAUUAUUAAUCUCAAAAUAAAUUAUCCUAUAUUUACCAACCAAACAAUAAAUUAAGUGAAAUUAUUAUUUAAACAUUUAUAGCUAACGAUAGAGUAAUAUACAUUGACACUGGCCUUUUUCUUGCAUUUGAUAAAAAGCAGGUUGCAUCCACUUCCCCAUCAUUAUUCUGUGUCUGUAGAACCAACAGAUUUUAAUUUUUUCAUCAUAUUUUUUUCCAUUUUAUUUCUCCUUUGAUACUCAAUUCCUCUGAUUACUAAUCUCCAGUAAGUGAGAAGAUGAAGGAAGAGAUGGCAGAGUAUCUUCCAUUAUCUCAAACAGAAGAUUCAGAGAAGCAAACUUCUUCACAUCCUUCUCUGAUUCCAAUUAAAAGUAGAAAAAAGGGUGGAUUAAUUACCAUGCCUUUUAUCAUAGGUACUCGACUAGUUCAAAUAUUUUGGGGAUUUUUUUGUUAUGUUUUGUAAUUAAGUUAAGUUUAUUUUUUGAAUUGUUACAGCAAAUGAGGCACUGGAGAGUGUGGCGAGCUAUGGGCUUUUACCAAAUAUGACAUUUUAUUUGAUGAGAGAUUACAGGAUGGACAUUACUACAACUCAAAAUCUUCUGUUUUUCUGGUCAGCUACUACUAAUUUUUUGCCUAUUGUUGGAGCUGUUGUUGCUGAUUCAUAUUUAGGUCGAUUCCUUACUAUUGGCCUUGGUUCCAUCUUCAGUUUCCUGGUAUAUAACUAAAACUUAUACAUUCCCAUUUCAUCUUCUUCUUCUUCUUCUUCGUUUGGGUCAAUGGUAAUUAACUAAAACUUUUAAAUUAAACUAAUAAAAUUCAAGUUUUUUAAAUCUAUAAGUCAAAUUAAACUAAUAAAAUACAACUAUUUUAGUUGUUUUAUAAAAAGAAAAACAAAAAAUAUGAUAUGAGUGAUAAUACUAAAAUAUUCCACAAAAAAUAAUAAUGAAAUCGCAUAAAACAAAUAUUGUAAAUAAAUAAGUCAUUAUGAAGAUAUGAUAAUUUAAAAAUAUUUAAUCAUGCUAAAAACAAAUCAAAUAAGAAAUAAUUACAUAACAAAAUUUUUUAAAAAUUAAAAUUAGAUUGUAUUAUUAUUAUCUAAACCAAUGUAAAACUAAAAUAAAUAUUCAACAUUAUUGUCAUUCUUAAUGUUGAAUUGAUCUUUUUGUUAGAAGUAUUAUUGAUUUGAAUUUGAUCUGAGUUUUAUUAGAGUUAGUUACUAAUAUCUAUGAACUAUAAAUUUUAUUAGACCAUUCAAAAUUUUAAGUCAAACUUGAAAUAAUAAGUAAAGACAAAAAUUAUGAAAAAGUAUAAAAAAUAUUUAUAAAUUAUUGUAUCAAGUAAAUAUUUUUAUGCAUAAAAGAAAAUUUUAAAAUUAUAUAUAUAAUGUUGGGUUGGUAUAGUCUCGGGUUGACUUUUAUAAGUUAAAAUAAAACUAAUAACCAUAUUUUUCUCAAUACCAGAUCAAAUCAAAUCAAAUCAAAAAAACGCAAUCAAACACCGUAUAAAAUUAAUAUAUGUAUAAUUUUUAUAAAUAUAACAUUUAAAUAUAAAUAUUAUAUAAAAUUAAUACACCAAUAACUUCUAUCCUAUUUAUUAACUAAACAUAAUAUAAAAUUCAUAUAUAAAUGACCAAAUUAUAUACUCCCUCCGUCCCAUUUUAUAUGUCACAACUUUUACUUUUUUACUUUUUUACUUUAAUACUAGUGUUUUUCCCCCUACUUUUCUUAAUUGAAUUUUCACAAUCUUUUAUUUUUUUACUUCAAUUUUGAUUUUUUACUUUUUUAAAAAAAAAUCCCGCUGAAAGUGCUAAUCCUUAUACCGUCUCCAACCACACUUUAAGAGGUUGUUUGGUUUGAAUACAAGUAUGAUGAAAAUAUUUAUGCUGGAUAAAUUAUGCUGGAAUUAAUUAUGUUGAGAGUAAUUUUUAAAACUUAUAUUCAUUGCAUAAUUUCUAAUAAUAAGUUGUUUGUUUACAAAAAUAUCUUCCACCUUAUUUAUUUUUUUUGUACAUUUUACUUGCAAGCUUUAGUUAUUCAUUCUUAAAAUUAAAUUUUUCAUCUUGUUUAGCUUAAUUUUUUUGUGUAUGCAUUUUCAUGAUUGUGACGUGUGUUUUUAAAAUUAAACUUUCAUCUUAUUUAACGUAGAAUAAAACUUACAUCUUAUUUAGCUUAAAAAUGAAUUUUUCAUCUUAUUUAGCUUAAAAAUGAAAUUUUCAUCUUAUUUAGUUUUAAAAUAAAACUUCCAUCUUAUUUAGCUUAAAAUAAAACUUCUAUUUUUAAGUUUAUUAUAGUAAAAUAAAUUUUAUUAUUAAAGUUAUCUACAUUUUUAAUUGAUAUAUAAAAUAUAAUUUUUAAGUGAGUAAUAAACUAUUUAAUCUGAAAAUAUGUAAUUUAAUAUUGGAGUGAACAUUUUAAGAGAAAUCAAAGUAUAAAUAAACAUUAGAAUUAGGCAAAUAAAUCCAACUCAUAAUAUAUUCAUGAAUAAAAACUAUAUUUAUAAAAUGUAAUUUUUAAUUAAAAAUAUACUCUUAUAAAAACAACAAAUAAUUAAGGUUGUGAAUGUUAUUAUAAAUGUUGUUAAAAUUAUGUUAAUAUACAUGAAUGUAAAAGUUAAAAGAGAGUUUAAGAAGCGUAUUUUUGUUAUUUUAUAUACUUUAUCCCUAGAUAAGUUAUCCUAGGAUUACUAUUUCACCUCCUUGCAGGGAUAACUUAUCCAAGUACCAAUUGUUAAUCCUGGGAUAAGUUAUCCCAUCCUUUACAACCAAACGGUGAAUUAAAGGGCACUCAAAAAUUAUCCUGGGAUUAACACCUCUUAUCCAUCACACCAAACGACCCCUUAGUGUACACUUUGAGUUUGCUAGUUCAGAUCUCACUUUAUGUGUUUUAGUGUGAACAUUUAAUUAUAUGAUCCUUAUUUAGGAAUAUAUGUAUAUAUACAGAUAAAUUAUUUUGAAGUUAAAGGGUGCACAUACACCCACUACCUUAAAAGUGGUACACGCCUUUGAAUUGGUAUAUACUUGUUAUUUAAGCUAUUUUUUGCCAGGGCACAUGCAAAAAAAUAGGUUCAGUUGGACCUCUUAAUUAAACGGUAUAUCUGGCUAUGCCCAUAAGAGAGUUUUGGGCGAAAAUACUCAACUCUUAAGCUACAUUCUUUCCCUAUCAUAAUAAACAUAAAGCAUCCCUAAACUAUACAAAAACUUGCAAGUUACGUCCCUCCGUUAGUUUUAUGUUAAGAAAUAAUGGCUUCAACCAAAAGCGCAUGACUAUCCCUCACCAAACGACUGCCAUUUGGACUCUAACGCUAAAAAGAUUCAGCAAAUCUUAAUAUCAAAUCAAUCCAUUGUUGUUCAGUUGUAGAAAUAAAAAAAUUAAUACAAUAAUAUUCUUACCAAAAAUUGAUAAAGGAUAUCUAUAUGUUUGUUAUUUUCAACAUGUAAGCAAUUGAUUUAUUAGUAAACUUUUAAAUUGUUUUAUGGAUUCCAAAUGAGUAACUAUUAACUAUAUAUAAAAGUCUUCAAGUUAUAAAGGUAAAAGAUGAAUUAUGUAUCUCAUUUAUACACGAUAUUAACUAUUAAUUAUAAAAAUCUUCACAGUAUAAGAGUAAGAUUAUGUACACAUCACUCUUCUCAUACCCACUUAUAGAAUUACACUGAAUAUAUUGUUAUUGUUAUUAAAAAAAAAAAAAACAAAUUAUGCAUCUCAUUUAUAUACAAUAUUAUAUUUACUUUAUCUAAACAUUAAAAUUGGGAUAACAUAGUUCAAGGAUGUUAUUUAUUCAUUGUUAUAAUAUGAGGAUGUAGAUUUACUCCCCAUAAGACAAGAGGAUUGUAGUUAAGCUACACUUGAAUGCCCUGUUGUUGCAGGGAACAGUAGUGUUGUGGUUAACAGCAAUGAUUCCGAAAGCAAGGCCUCCACCUUGCAAUCAAUCAGGACAUGAGGCUUGUAAAUCGACAACGACAUCACAAUACAUGCUCUUGGUUUUCUCGUUUCUGCUCAUGUCAAUUGGUGCUGGAGGUAUAAGACCGUGUUCUUUAGCCUUCGGUGCUAACCAGUUUGACAAGGGAGGUAGUAAUCCCAACAAGCAUACGGUGUUGGAGAGCUUCUUUGCCUGGUAUUAUACUUCAUCCAUAGUCUCUGUUCUGAUUGCCCUGACAGGUAUCGUUUACCUUCAAGACAGACUCGGGUGGAAAAUAGGUUUUGGAGUUCCUGCAAUCCUCAUGUUCUUAUCCGCGUUAUUUUUCUUCCUUGCUUCCCCGUUUUAUAUCAAGCAAAAGGUUCUCUCAAACGUGUUUGCCAGCUUUAUACGAGUAAUUGUGGUUGCCUUCAAGAAUAGGAAACUACAUUACCCCAAUCAGAACUCUGAUUAUCAUCACAAGAAUGGUUCAGGACCUCAAGUGCCAACGGAUAAAUUGAGAUUCUUAAACAAAGCUUGCGUCAUUAAAAGCCCUGAAGAUGUUAAGCCAAACGGAGUUGCAGCCAAUCCAUGGAACCUUUGCACAGUGGAGCAAGUUGAGGAGCUAAAAGCCCUCAUUAGAGUCGUGCCAUUGUGGUCAACAGGGAUCAUGAUAUCAAUAAACUUGAGCCAAAGUUCAUUCCCACUACUUCAAGCUCAAUCCAUGAAUAGACAUCUAACUAAAGGAUUCCAAAUACCAGCAGGGUCAUUCGGGAUGUUUUUGAUGAUUGCAUUAACAAUUUGGGUAUUACUGUAUGACCGCGUGAUGCUUCCAUUGGCAUCAAAGAUCAAAGGAAGACCAGUUCGUCUAAAACCUAUAGUCAGAAUGGGACUUGGUAUAUUCGUGUCUUGCAUGUCCAUGGUAGUCUCUGGUAUUAUCGAAAAUAUUCGACGAAGAAGAGCAAUCAGUGAAGGGCUGUUGAACAACUCGCAGGGGUUGGUGGAGAUGUCAGCAUUCUGGCUCAUUAUACCAAACAGUUUAAACGGUAUAGCAAAGGCAUUGAACGCGAUUGGCGCCACAGAGUUCUAUUAUUCAGAGCUCCCAAGGAGUUUGUCAAGUAUUGCAUCUGCUCUUUUAGGACUGGGAAUGGCAGUGGCAAGUCUUUUAGCAAGUGUGAUUUUGAGUGCUGUGGACAAGUACACCAAAGGAGAAGGGACAGAAAGUUGGGUUUCAAGCAAUAUCAACAAGGGACACUAUGAGUAUUACUACUGGCUUCUUGCUGUAUUGACAGCUUUCAAUCUGAUUUAUUUUGUGGCUUGUUGCUCCCAAUAUGGACCCUCUGUUGACGUUGACAUCACUAAGAAAAUGAUGGAGCUUAGUGAUGAUGAUGAUUGAUGAGUUUUGCCUAAUUCGUUCACCAUAGGCAGAUUCUGUGGAACAGAAAUAUGUUUAUUCAAAAUCAUAUGUUGGCAGUGAGAAUUUUGUUUUUCUUUCAAUAAGAUAAUUCCGAGGAAAAAAGUCUAAUGCGAUGGGAAUUUCAGAGAGCAGUUUAUAUUAUAGAUGGAUAAACAACAACCUCCAACAGAACAGCUUCAAAACUUGUAUCCACUUAUUCACAUGAAAAGAUUCAAAAGGGGAAUGAGGCAAGAAUAUGCCUUCUGAAAAGUUUCCAUAAUCUCUUGUAAACGAUGAUAUUGUAUUGGCAGAUGAUAGUUAGAAAAUCGAUUGGUAUUGAAAGAAGUAUCAAUGAACAUAUCUAUCAGCUAGCUCUAACUUUUAUAAGGACAGCAGAAUAGGAGAGUGUGUAGCAUCCUGCUCCAACAGAGUAUGCUGUGUGAGAUAUUCAGCAAACAGAACAGAUGGUACUCCAAGAAUGCAGAAUAGUUGUCAUAGAUGCAAAUAUCCAUCAACCUCCAUUAAGACAUUAAUAAGAACUAGAACGCAAAUGGAAAAUGUCUAAGCUAAUACAAAGAGCAAUGGAGCUUAAUAAAGUACACAUUAGAAUUUGAAAAUGCAUUCUAUUUCCCUUUCUGUGUUUCUGAAUCAUUUAACAGUCAGAAUUAGUUAUUCCAUAAAUGAUUACAAGUCUUUAGCACCCUCCAUCCCCCCACCCUACAACAACAACUAUGCUUUAAUGCUACGAAAGUUGGUGUCGGCUUAUAUGAAUCCUCACACUACGUUGUUCCAUUUUUAAAAAAUCAUGUUAGAGCAAAUAUCAUACAAAAUAAAACUAGAAGUUCCUACAUUUCUACUGGCACAGAAACAAAAAGGCAAUAUUCCCUUCCCCUAACCCAACCCCAUAAAAAUAAUACAAUAAACACAAAACUCAAUUGCCAAGAGCAAAAUCUUCGUUAUUGAUAAGCUAAAUGUCAUACGAGAUUGCUUGAAUUCCAUACAGCGAGUUGACAAAAUUCAAAUUGCAACCAUUUCUCAAUUUCAACAACGCCGAAUGACGCACAUGAAAAAUUAAUUAGGGAAAAGAGUCAAAAAUACUCCUCAAUUUUAUUUUAUUGGUUGACUAUGCUCUUACGGUUAAAAUAAAGUUAUUUUUAACCCUAUAGGAAAAUGCAUGCCUUUCACAAUUGUUUAAUGGGAAAGGGGUCAAAAAUACCCCUCAACUUUGGUUUAUUGUUUGACUACGCCCUCGCCGUUAAAAUGAAGUUAUUUUUACCCUUGCCGUUACUAAUUUCACCAUUUUUACCCCUCAAUUGGAUGGAAAACCCCAAUCAACUAAAAUUACCCAAUUUCAAUUAAAUAACCCGAUUUUCCGUUUUAAUCCGAUCCCGAUCCAUUUAUAUAAAUUAAAAUCCUAAACCAAUCUCUCUAAUCUUCUCCGUCUCCUUCCUCCGUUGAAACACAUGCUACUAAAAUUGACAACAAAUGUUUUGUAGUUAAACUCAUGCAUAUUUGUCUUUCCUAAUAAAAUUGCACCACUAUUUCGUAAUCUUGACAUAGGAACCUCAUCUGCCUUCACCUGGCGAACCUCAUGAAACCAUUUAGAACCACCUGCACUUUUUUACAAGGAAAAAUGUUCAGCUAAAAAUGGCAGAGAUAUCUACAGAGGAAAUAUGAAGUUAAACAAAUACGAUGAAAAUAGCAAUCAAUCCUUGUCUGAAAUUGAAAAUCCCAUCCAAGAUUGACAGUGAAUUUCAUCCAUGACCACAAUCAAUAGAGGAAGGAGAUGAAAAAGAUUAGAGAGAUUUAGCACACUAGUGCGGUCAGAGCUUAGAGCUCAUUCAAUCAUUGGAUUUUGCUUUCCUCCGGGCAGAUCUGAAACUAUGAUAUUGCUUGCUUGUUGAGCCUAGCCAGAUAUGAGGUUGUGGCUGUUGUUUUUGACCCUUGAUGCUCGCCUGAUUGUGUUGUUGGUUUGAUCUGUUAGCGGUGCUUCAGUUGUUUUUUCCGAUGGGGUUUUGGUCGGGGUUUUGUUGGUUGGUUGUUUGGGGGUCAGAGAACUGGUGGUCUGGUGGUCAUUUGCUGGUUGUUUUAGCUUAGGUGAUGGAGGUCUGGGUUCUGGUGGGCUGAAGUGUGGUGUUACCAUCGGUUUUUGGCGUGGAGAGGGUGGUGUUUGAGAGAUGUUUCAGGCCGGUUUCGCGGUUGUUUGAAUGAUUCCGGCGGUGGGUGGUUUGUUUAAUGUUGUUCCAGCUUGGAACUGGUCGGAAAUGAAGAAGAAAGGUCAUGCUGUGGUCACCGAAAAGUAGAGGAAAAUGGGUUUGUUGUUGACGUUUUCUGCUUGGUGUCGUUUAUGGUUUUUAGGGUUUUUAGUGGUGAUUUGAGGUGGUCGUUUGGAGGUUGUUUCGGUGGUGUUUCGCCGGAUAAAAGAGAAAAUGAAUGGGGUUUUUGGGUUGCCGGAGCUUGAUUUGGGGUUUUAAUUUUGUAUAAAUGGGUCGGGUUCAGAUGAAAAAGAGAAAAUGGGGUCAUUUAAUUGAAAUUGGGUAAUUUUAGUUGAUUUGGGUUUUUCAUCCAAUUGAGGAAUAAAAAUGGUGAAAUUAGUAAGGGCAGGAGUAAAAAUAACUUUAUUUUAACAGCAAGGGCAUAGUCAACCAAUAAAAUAGAAUUAAGAGAUAUUUUUAACCCUUUUCCCAAUUAAUAAUUCCAUUUUAAUUGGGUUAUCGCAUAUAAAAACACAGAGAAUGAGAAUGAGAAUAAUUGAAAUUGACUAUGUUCGAUGAAGAACAGAAUAAUAUUCACUUACCAGAAGAGAAAAGCCGAAAGCUGGGGUUUAUAGGAGAAGAAAAACAAUUGAAGCCGAAGUGGUUGAGUAACUUAAACGAGUUCAUGUUUUCAACGAGCUAAGCUAAGCUAAGCGCAUCUAUUUUACCUUCUAAAAACAAAUUUUUUUCUCUCUCUUCGAUAUUAUAUUAAUAUUUCUAUUUCAUUUUUGUUUUCUUAUUUCAUAAUAUAAAUCUUUUCUUUUCUUUUUCAAAUAAUCAUCCUAUAUAAUUUUCAUGUAAUAUAAAAUUAUAAUUUUUUGAAAUUUUUAUUUAAUAUUAAAUAAUAUUUUAUUCUAAAUUUCUAAAGAACAACUAUGAAUAAUUGAAAAAAGAAAUCAACAAGCACAACCGCAAUCACAACCACUACUUCUCUAAAUCAUACACUAAUUCCUUUUUCGAAUAUCGUUAAAUCUAGAAACGACCUACCGGAUUACUAAUUUAUUGUUGUGAUUUUUAAAAUUAUUAUGUUAUGUAUUGUAUUUUAAAAUUAAAUUUUUUAUCUUAUCAUUUAAAUUUUGUGCAUUCUUCAUAGUGAAAAUUAAUAAUAACAUCAAAUUGUAUCACAAAGUGACGAAAAUUAAAGAAAAAAUAUUUAAAAUAUUAUUAAUUAGAGAUGAAAGUAGCAUAUAUAUAUUGAAAUAUUUUUAAAAAUGUUAUAUUACAUUUAAAAGGAAUUGCGAAUGUUAGAGAUUUAAUUAAUAAUCUUAUAUGACAAAUAAUAUGUUAAUUACAAAUAGUAGAAAUAAUAAUAUAAUAUUUAAAAGGUGAAAUAGAGAGUGGUUGAGGGCAUCUCCAACCCUAUCCUCUAUUUACUCUCCAAAUAUAGAGUUUUCUAUUUUUUCAGACAACCAACUCCAAUCCAAUUCUCUAUUUUACUCUCUUUAAAAUAAUCUUAUUACCUUUCCUCAAUAUUAUAUUAUUAUUUUUAUUUCAUUCUUAUUUUCUUAUUUCAUAAUAUAAAUCAUUUCUUCUUUUUGCACAUAAUCACUCUAUAAUCUUUAUGUAAUACAAAAUUAAUUUUUUUUUUCACAUUCUUCAUUUAAUAUAAAAUUAUAUUUUAUUCUAAAUUUCUAAAUAACAUAAAUUGCAAUAAAUAUUAUAUAUAAUACAUAUUAAGGAACAAUUCAAAUAAAAGUGAAAUCACUGAUGAAAUAUAAUUGCAUCAUAAAUAUUGUAUUAUCAUAAAAUUUAUUUUAAAUUUUACAUAAAUACUCAAUUUUCAAGAUUAUUGCGUUAGUCUCAUAAAUGUUCUUUUAAUGUAUUACGGAGUUCAAAAUGAGCAUUUUUUGUCCUUAUUUUUAUAUGUGUAGAUAAAAAUUGUUUAAAUUAACAAUUUCAUCUUGUAUUCAAUUAUUCAUGUACUAAUUUACUUCCCCUAUUCCAAUUUGAACUAUUGCAUCAAAUAUUUUCAUGCUUUUUAAAAAGUGUAGUUUAAUAAUUUAUCACUAUAACAUAAAAGUCGAUUGUUUGAAUUAUCAUGUAAAUUUUGUGCAUAUUUCAUAAUGAAAAAUAAUUAUAAUCUAAAUUACAUUUUUAAAAUGAGAAAAAAAUUAAAUUAGAAAAAUUGUUAAUUCAGGAUAGAAGUAGUAUACUUAUCAAUAAUAUGUUUUAGAUGUUAUAUUACUUAGAAAAUAAUUACAAAUAUUAGAGACUUAAUUAAUAAUCUUAUAUAAUAUAAAUAAUAUUAAAAUAACUUUAAAUUACAUAUUUAAAGUGACCAUUUUCUUUUAAAAAAUAAAAUAGAAAAAUUAUUAAUUUGCGAAAAUAGUAACUUAUUAAUAAUAUAUUUUUAAAUGUUAUAUUACAUUAGAAAAUAAUUACAAAUGAUAAAGACUCAAUUAAUAAUAUAAUAGAAAUAAUAUUAUAAUAAUCAAAAAGUAAAAUAGAGAGGUGAAUAAUAGUUCUCCAAAUUAUUCACCUCUCUAUAAUUGAAGAAUAGAGAGUGAAAUAGAGAUGGGUUGGAGAACUCAUUCUCUGUUUUACUCUCCAAAUAUAGACAAUGAAGAUUAAAAUAGAUUAGGAUUGGAGAUGGUCUAAGGCUCUAAGCUAAAAACGUGAACAAUUAUUAUUUUUUAUUUUCAUUAAUAGCCACGUGGGGUUAAGAAAAGGUCCUAAUUAAUAUGCUUUCAAUUAUACUCUCUCUAUUUCAAAAUGCGCGAAUUAUUGAUUUUUUUUAUAAUUAAAAAUAAGUGAAUUGUUCAAAGUUCAAAAGAAAUGUUGGAUUUUUUUAUUUAUUUUCUCCCCUCAUUUAUAUCUUUCAAGAUACUUCCUUCGGUUCAUUUUCAUUUCAUAAAAUCAAUGCAUAAAUUAUCAUAUUGUUCAUUUUUUAUCCUUGUGAGUUAUUAGCCUUGAAAAUAUAUAUUUGACCAACUUAGAAAAGCUAAGUAAAUGAUUCAUGUUCAUUGGUUAAAUUAAUUAAUCAAAAUAAUUAAUUCAUAUUCAUUGAUUGAAAACUUGAGUUCCAAAAAAAUUAAAUAAGGGUAGAAGAGUAAAGUUACAUCAUUUUUUAAUGCAAAUGCAAUGUAAAAAGGUGACAUAUAAAAUUGGACGGAGAGAGUAGUAAAUUGCUCAUAUUUAUGAUUUUAAUUUUAUUCUCAAAAAUAGUUUGAAAAUAACUAAAAAGCAAAAGUGGGAAAUAGUGUUCAAUUUAUGUCCUAAUUAUUUUCCUUAAUGAACGUGCAUUACCUUAACAAUUUAUUUCUUUUGAAAUGAAAGGAGUAAUAAAUAGUACUAUAAAUUAUAAAGUAAUAAUUAAUAACUUUACAUAUUGAUGGAAAAUUUGAUUAACUUUUGAAAUUUCACCUAUGACAUUUAAAUCAAGACAGGACAUAGGAAUAACAUAUAUUAUUUAAAAUUUGAAAAUUAUGUAAAAUGUAUUAUAAAUCAGAAUAAUUAAUGUUUUAAAAUAUUUUCAAAAAUAUAUUAGAACUUUGGUCAACUCUCUAAUUUUCAAACGUAUCACGUAAAUUGAUACAGUAACAUAUUAUUUUAAAAUUACGUUAAAAAGUACUUGGAGUAGUUCAAGUAUUUUGGAUUUUUUUAUUUAUUUGUAAUUAAGUUUAUUUUUGAAUUGUUUCAGCAAAUGAGGCACUGGAGAAUGUGGCGAGCUAUGGGCCUUUAAACAUACAUAAUGCUGCAAUUUAAGAGUUUCUUUUUGGAAAACCAUAUAAAUAGGUCAUAGAAUUCAAAAUAAUUACAUAUUCAUAUCCAAAUCCAAAUUGAAAGUAAUUCAAGAAAUACUUACUCUCUCAUAAAUAAUUGCAGCUCAAACCCCUUUCACUAAGACUGAGAAGUUUCGCUUAACUGAUAUUAAAUUAGUAUCAUAUACUGCAUUGAUAUCAUUAAUGUUGAUAAUUUAUAUAUAUAUAUAUAUAUACUAUAUUGGUAUCAUUAAAGUUUUUUGUUUAGAAGUCAAUGAUACUUUAAGAGUAUAUGCAUAUUGUUGUGGUAUCAUUGAGGUUUCUUGUUCAGAUGUUACUCAUUGGUCAAUGAUAUUAUAAGAGUAUAUAUAUUUAUGGUAUCACUAAGGUUUCUUGUUCAGAAAUUGCUCAUUAGUCAAUGAUAAUAUAAGAGUAUGUAUAUGAUUGACGAUUACCAACUUUAAUGAUACCAAUACAAUAUCUGAUAUAGUAUCAGUUAAGCGAAAUUAGUUUAAGGUAUAUAAUAUAAUUAUUUACAACAACAACAACAUACCCAGUGAAAUCCCACAAAGUGGGGUCUGGGAAAUAUAAUAUAAUUAUUUAGUGAGGUAUAAAUGUAAAGGGGUAUAUGUUUGUACUCUCUCUGUUUAAAAAAGAAUGACUUAGUUUGACUUGGAAAAGAGUUUAAUAAAAGAAAGAAGACUUUUUAAUCUUGUGGUUCUAAAAUAAAGUUAUGUCAAAUCACAAAUGUACCAAAAUGUCAUUUGAUCUUGUGACCUUAAACAUGUCAAGUGGAAAGUUAAAAUUAAAGUGUUGACAAAAAAGGAAAUAGGUCAUUCUUUUUUAAACAAACUAAAAAUGAAACAAGGCCAUUUUUUUUUAAAACAGAGGAAGUAAUUAUAUAAUAUAAUUAUUUACAACAACAACAACAUACCCAGUGAAAUCCCACAAAGUGGAGUCUGGGGAAUAUAAUAUAAUUAUUUAGUGAGGUAUAAAUGUAAAGGGGUAUAUGUUUGUACUCUCUCUGUUUAAAAAAGAAUGACUUAGUUUGACUUGGAAAAGAGUUUAAGAAAAGAAAGAAGACUUUUUAAUCUUGUGGUUCUAAAAUAAAGUUAUGUCAAAUCACAAAUGUACCAAAAUGUCAUUUGAUCUUGUGACCUUAAACAUGUCAAGUGGAAAGUUAAAAUUAAAGUGUUGACAAAAAAGGAAAUAGGUCAUUCUUUUUUAAACAAACUAAAAAUGAAACAAGGCCAUUUUUUUUUAAAACAGAGGAAGUAAUUAUUUUACUUUUAUGGGAUAUUUGUUUAGUUUCCCUUUUUUUUUUAACAUAUUAAAAAAUGAAAAGAGUACUUUCGCACACAAAAUUUAUGAUAAAAAGGGAAAAAGUAGUAUAAACAUAUUGUAUCAUGAAUUUUAUUUUAGACUUCUACAAUUUUCUGAAGAAAUUCACACUUAAGCAAGUAGCUUCUUAAAUCAGUUUUUUAAAAUUUACAAGUAGCUCAAACAAAAGAUUGCAAGCAAUUUUUUCAAGCUUGCAAUCAAAUUGAUAACUUAUGAGUAGAUCAAAUAAAAUCUUAAAUAACCUUUGAAAAGACUUCAUUAACUUCUUAAAAACCUCAUUUUUUUUUCUUUUCUUUUAUGAAGUUUCGAAAUAAAUAAUAUCAAUUUAUUAUAAGUUGAGAAGAAAGAUAAAUAGUGGGACCACCAACAAGGAAAAGAAAUGCAACCUUUCACACACAAUGACCAUCAAAGGAUGUGUUGAUUUUUUAAUUGGAGAUCUCAAGUUUAAAUUUUAUGCUGAUAGUAUUAAAAUUUAAAAAGCAUACGAAUAUAAAUGAGGAAAAAAUCCAAAAAAAAGAAGAAGAAGAAAACCUUUCACGCGGAAAUCGGAAUCACAAGCAAAAUCCUCUUUCCGCAGUCUGUCUAUUGUGGUCAAUGGUAUAUAUAUAUAUAAUAUUUUAUUUAUUUUAAAAUAAAUUGAUAUUUUUUUAUUUUUUAAUUAAAAGAUAUUAAAAUUAAAAUGAUAAAAAUAUUUUAAAAAAUAAAAUAAUAUAGAUAAAAUAUUAUUCUAGCCAAAUUCUGGCUAAUUUUUUUUUUUCCCUAUAUAUAAAAUGGGAAGAGAUAGAAAUAUGUGAUGGUGAGUCAUGCUUUUUUCUUGCAUUUACUAAUCAGCAGCUGCUCAGCCUCGAUUUUUUCGGCUUUUAUUUUUCAACUUUGAAUUUGCGUUUCUCAUAGUUUUACUUCUCCAUUCAUCCGCAAUUCCUCUGAUUAAUAACCUCUAGUAAGUGAGGAGAUGGAGCAAGAAAUGGCAGAGUUUCUUCCUCUAAACCGAGGAUCUAAAAUGGAGGAUUCAGAGAGGCAAACUUUUUCUCUGAUUCCAAUUAAAAGUAGAAAGAAGGGUGGACUAAUUACCAUGCCUUUUAUCAUAGGUACUGGAGUAGUUUCAAAUAUUUUGGGGAUCUUUUUUGUUAUGUUUUAUAAUUAAUUAAGCUAAUUUUGAAUCAUUUCAGCAAAUGAGGCACUGGAGAAUGUGGCGAGCUAUGGGCUUUUACCAAACAUGACAUUUUAUUUGAUGAGAGAAUACAGGAUGGACAUUACUACAACCCAAAAUCUUCUGUUUUUCUGGUCAGCUACUACUAAUUUUUUGCCUAUUGUUGGAGCUGUUGUUGCUGAUUCAUACCUAGGUCGAUUCCUUACUAUUGGCCUUGGUUCCAUCUUCAGUUUCCUGGUAUAUAACUUUUAACUUAAAACUAAUAUGUUGCUAAUUAGUGUUUUAUAGUUUCCGAUCUUCUUCUUCUCGUUCGGGUCGAGGUCACCAAUUUCUUGUCUUUGUCUGUGUGAUCUGUAUGAUAGGUCACUGUAAAAGCUUGCGCGAUAGUAAAUAUUUGUUGUAAUUUUUGGGAUAUUUUGCGAGUGUGCACCCGAAAAAUAGGUUCAGUUGGACCUGUUAACUAUACAGUAUAUGUGUCUAUUCCCAUAAAACAAGAGGAUUGUAGUUAACUCACCUACUUUUAACACUUCAAUGCCCUCUUGUUGCAGGGAACAGUAGUGCUGUGGUUAACAGCAAUGAUUCCGAAAGCAAGGCCUCCGCCUUGCGAUCAAUCAGGACAGGCUUGUAAAUCGACAACGACAUCACAAUACAUGCUCUUGGUUUUCUCGUUUCUGCUCAUGUCAAUUGGUGCUGGAGGUAUAAGACCGUGUUCUUUAGCCUUCGGUGCUAACCAGUUUGACAAGGGAGGUAGUAAUCCCAACAAGCAUACGGUGUUGGAGAGCUUCUUUGCCUGGUAUUAUACUUCAUCCAUAGUCUCUGUUCUGAUUGCCCUGACAGGUAUCGUUUACCUUCAAGACAGACUGGGGUGGAAAAUAGGUUUUGGAGUUCCUGCAAUCCUAAUGUUCUUAUCCGCGCUGUUUUUCUUCCUUGCUUCUCCGUUUUAUAUCAAGCCAAAGGUUUGCUCAAACGUGUUUGCCAGCUUUAUACAAGUACUUGUCGUUGCCUGCAAGAAUAGGAAACUCCGCUACCCCAAUCAGAACUCUGAUUACCAUCACAAGAAUGGUUCAGGACCUCAAGUGCCAACGGAUAAAUUGAGAUUCUUAAACAAAGCUUGCAUCAUUAAAGGCCCUGAAGAUGUUAAGCUAAAUGGAGGUGCAGCCAAUCCAUGGAACCUUUGCACAGUGGAGCAAGUUGAGGAGCUAAAAGCCCUCAUUAGAGUCGUGCCAUUGUGGUCGACGGGGAUCAUGAUAUCAAUAAACUUGAGCCAAAGUUCAUUCCCUCUACUACAAGCACAAUCCAUGAAUAGGCAUCUAACUAAAGGAUUCCAAAUUCCAGCAGGGUCAUUUGGGAUGUUUAUGAUGAUUGCGUUAACAAUUUGGGUUUUUCUCUAUGACCGAGUGAUGCUUCCAUUGGCAUCGAAGAUCAAAGGAAGACCAGUUCGUCUAAAACCUAUAGUCAGAAUGGGAAUUGGCAUAUUCAUCUCUUGCAUAUCCAUGGUAGUCUCUGGUAUUGUGGAACACGUUCGACGAAGAAGAGCAAUCAAUGAAGGGCUCUUGAACAACUCACAUGGGUUGGUGGAGAUGUCAGCAUUGUGGCUCGUUAUACCAAACAGUUUAAAUGGGAUCGCAGAGGCAUUCAGCGCGAUCGGCUCCACAGAGUUCUAUUAUUUGGAGCUCCCAAAGAGUAUGUCAAGUAUUGCAUCUGCUCUUUUAGGACUGGGAAUGGCAGUGGCAAGUCUUUUAGCAAGUGUGAUUUUGAAUGCUGUGGAUAAGUACACCAAAGGAGAAGGAACAGAAAGUUGGGUUUCAAGCAAUAUCAACAAGGGACACUAUGAGUAUUACUACUGGCUUCUUGCUCUAUUGACAGCUUGUAAUCUGCUUUAUUUUGUGGCUUGUUGCUGGCAAUAUGGACCUUCUGCUGAUGUUGACAUCACUAAGAGAAUGAUGGAGCUUAGUGAUGAUGAUGAUCAUCUUCCAUAGUGGAAAGACUCAGGCAAACUCAACUGAAAAAACUCAGGUAAACUCGGUGAAAUGCGCCAAAUUAUGCUUGUUUACCACAGUCAAAUUAUACAUUGAGAUACUAAUAUACACUUAUGAAGCUAUAAAGCUUAUGAAAAUGAUGUGUGGUCUUCACUUAUUGAUUUGAUGCCUGUUUAUGGUUUGGAGGUGAGCAAGGUUUGGAACAACUCACCUUCCCCGUAGCAUUUCGAGGCAGCGAGUCCCACACAGACAGGCAGUAGGUAUCUGUUACAUAAGUUGAACGACAAACAUUAGUUUAGCAGGCAUAUCUUGGUACUCGAGUAUAACAUUUAUCUUGCAUAAGAACCAAAUCACAAAACAAUACUUUCUGUCCCAAGUUAUAGUUAAUCAAUAUCAACAAAGUAAGCGCAUAAAUUCCUUAUCCCUGGAAUGGAAGCAGAAAGAAGUCAUGGAAAUAAUUAUUCUCGUUAAGAAAGAUUCAAAAGGGGAAUGAGGCAAGAAUAUGCCUUCUGAAAAGUUUGCAUAAUCUCUUGUAAACAAUGAUAUUGUAUAGGCAGAUGAUAUUCAGAAUAUCGAUUGGUAUUGAAAGAAGUAUCAAUGAACAUACCUAUCAGCUAGCUCUAACUUUUUUAAGGACAACGGAAUAGGAGAGUGUCUAACCUAAUACAAAGAGCAAAGGAGCCUAAUAAACUACACAAUAGAAUUUGAAAAUGCAUUCUAUUUCCUUCAUUGUUUCUGAUUCAUUUAACAGUCAGAAUUAGUUAUUCCAUAAAGGAUUACAAGUCUUUAGCACCCCACCCUACAUCAACAACUAAGCUUAAAUGCUACCAAGGUAUCGGCUAUAUGAAUCCUCAGACUAUGGUGUUGCAUUUAGAGCAAUAUCAUACAAAACAAAAAUAGAAACAAAAAGGCAAUGUUCGUUUCUCCUUGCCCCACCCGAAUAAAAUAAUAAGAAAAUACAAUACUAUUAGCACAAAAUUUAAUCGCCAAGAGCAAAAUCUUCGUUAUAGAUAAGCUAAAUGCCAUACGAGAUUGUUUGAAAGUUAACAAAAUUCAAAUUGUUACCAUUUCUCAAUCUCAACAAAGGCGAAUGAUGCACAUGAAAAAUUAAUAAUUCCAUUUUGAUUGGGCGAUCGCAUAUAAAAACACAGAGAAUGAGAAUUAUUGAAAUUGACAAGGUUCGAUGAAGAACAGAAUAACAUUCACUUACCGGAAGUGAAAAGCCGAAAGGUAGGGUUUGUAGGAGAAGAAAAACAAUAUGCAUUGAAAAAGGGAGAGCAAUUGAAACGAAAGUGGUUGAGUAACUCUUCUGUUUGCCCUUCACCUCUCCAAAUUCAAUACUGCCGACGGUCAGGUGAUCGGGAAAAUUUUGCACAAGGCGCCGAUUGUAAAGUGGUUGCUGCCUAAUACGGUUAACUGGUAGUAGUAGUAGUAGUGAUGGGUCCUUUUAAUUAAUUAAUUUAUUUUGUAUAGAGCGCUUUAAUUGGUUGUUGAUCAACAAAAAGAAUGAGAAGAAAAAGAGAGUGAAGAUAAUUGGGCCUAGAGCAUUUCUUUAAAUAAAAAGAAAAUUUCAUUAUAACUGAAAUGGAACAAUAUUACAAACAGGUGCUUGAAUUAAAAGGAUAUAAACUUCAAACAUGAAAAGAAUUUGGUAAAAAAUUAAAAAUUACAACCUUAAUUUAAACAAGGGAAAAGGGUCAAAAAUGCCCUUAUACUAUGUGAAAGAAACAAAUAUGCCCUCCGUUUAUAGUUUGGCUCAGAAAUGCCCUUACCGUCAAUACUUUGGCUCAAAAAUGCCCUUGCAGUCAAUACUUUGGUCCAGAAAUGCCCCUAUAGUUAAAAAAUGGGUCAAAAAUGCCCUUUUCUGAAUAAAUAUAUAUUUUUUUUCUUUUUAAACACAUAUUUUUCCUGAUUAAAAUAUUAUUAAAGAACACUAUUCUUGUUUUCUUUCUUUUAAAAUCACUUUAACAAAUAAAAGUGUAGGAAAUAUUUUUUUUCUUCUUAAUCUCAUUUUAUCAAUUAAAAUAGAAUAACUUCAUGUACCCUUUCGACAAAUAAUAUAUGUCAUAUAUAUACUACCAUGGUAUAUCCAUCAUUAAUUUAUAUUUAUAUAACGAUAAAAAAAUAAUGAUAAUAAAAUAAGAAAUAUUUUCAUUUUUUAUUUUUUUCUAUACUGAAGUAAGAUAAGCAUUUGCUAAUUUUUAAAAAAAACAUUCAUUGAAAAAGAAUGUGUUAAAAAGAAAUAAUAAUAUAUUAUUUGGAAAAUGAGUCUGAUCAAUUAAAUAACAAAUAAGGGUAUUUUUGGACCAAAGUAUUGACGAUAAAGACAUUUUUGGACCAAACUACAAACGGAGGGCAUUUUUGUUCCUUUCGCAUAGUUUAAGGGCAUUUUUGAACCAAAGUAUUGACGGUUAGGGCAUUUUGAGCCAAACUAUAAACGGAGGGCAUUUUUGUUCCUUUCACAUAGUUUAAGGGCAUUUUUGACCCUUUUCCCUUUAAACAAUAACAAAAAUCAGUACUCUUCAAUUUACUUGUACAUGGAUUGUACUGAGGGAGCUUGAUUCAUUUGCUGGUUUCCAUAUUGCUGCUGAGCAACGAUGCCAUUCCAACCUCCAUUAAGUUUUACAGACCCAUAUUAACAAUUUGAUUCUCUUUAAAAUGUCACUCUUAUAAGUUAAUAGAGGUGUAUCUCAUUAUUUUCGACUUGAACUAUAUAUGUACUUAUGUGAAAAACAUUUGAAAAUGCAUGCAUAUAAUAAGAUUACGUUCAUUCUGAACUCACUGACUCUAGUUUCUAGAUUUGCCUAUGACAAAGCAGAACAUUAAUAGGAAAGACGAUUUCAUACCUAGAGCUGGAUCGAGUCCCCUAAUACGAAGCUCUCUGAACUCUUGACAGAGUGAACAAAAUGGACAAAAGAUGUGAGAAACUACAUCUGAAUAGGGAGCUUCCACCAGAUUGUACCUCUGCCUCAACUUUGUUCUGUAUUUGGAGCCCAUGAUCCAUUGAGAGCAAACAGCAGGCAUCAUCAAGAGGUACAUAAAAGACCCCAAUGGACAAGCUGCAACCAUCACCCAAAAAACACAAAGAAUUACUAACACACUUCUUUUAAAAGGCAAAUUGGAUAGAUUUAGAGAAUAACUCACUCAUUUCUCCUGCAUCUUGAACUUCAGCUAUCUGUCCAAACGUCACACAAGGUAAAAACGCUGUCAUGGCAGCUGCACAAACAACAAUGUUUAAUAUUAAUAUCAUUGCUACAUAAUAGCUACAGUAUCUAAAAGGAGGAGAGUUGUAGUAGGCUGACAACCAGCGUAAAACUAGUCAAUUUAUGAUGAAUCCUUCACCUCAUGAUUGUUGGGUUAUGAAGGGUGAUUAGGACGUCAUGCAAAAGUUUACAAUUGCAAAUAAUAUGAUUGAUAAAUUAGACGACACAUAAAACUAUACUAAAGGGCAUAAUAUUAUUAUAUGAUAGGACCAAUUGACCUAAAUAAUUAAAAACUAAUAAAAACAUAAAAACUGUUGAGAGAAAAUCUCUCAUAAACAAAACUCUUUAAAUGUCUACAUUGUGGAUAUUAUUGUGUUAUGCUAUGAGAAUAGGGAUCUUCAAUUUAUAGAUCUCCAAACUUUUCCUCCAAGGAAAGAAUAAACCAUUAAAUAUGGGAAAAAAUUUUGGGGCAUAAAGUACGGUUUCACCAAAAUCAUCUUUGUCAAACUUCCCAGAUUUAAUUUCAUCUCGAAUUAGCUAAAAAGAUUACCCAAGUCAAAAAGCACACCCAAAAGUAGGAAAAAUUUAGGCAUGGAUACAAGGACUACUCCAUUUGUUUCAUUUUUUAAAAACGUUUAAUAACUAGAACAAACAUACAAGUAGUUGACAAAAAGAGUAUCUGAUUAGAUAAAUGAAAGUACCUAAAGCCACAUGAUGCAAAGCAAAGAGCACUUGUCCUUAAUGAAAAAUGCACUUCUGUGUGAAAAACAUUCUACUUAAGUAUGAUAAUUUAGGUAAUUAGUAAGUUGGUCCAAAAGAGGUAGAAUUAUGACAUUACACUCUCAUAGGAGCAAACCUAAUAAAAAAUGAAAUGUCAACCACAAAUUCAGGAAGUCUUGGUUUUUGCGCUGGGAUUAACUCUUCAUCAAUCAAAAGCAAGUUUCACAAACAAAGAAGAUUAAAUCGUUUCCAGUGCACACAUACAAAAUAGUUCCUUGGAAGUUCAGAAUACAGUUCCUUUUUUAUUCAAAAAAUGGACAAUCCAGAAAUAGCAUAUUCAAUCGGUUCAAGAAACCAAAAAUAGAACAGAAAGAACCGACUGAAAGAGUUCAGUUUACUCAUUAUAAGAACACAGCGGAAAGAACUAGUUGAAGCGGGGGAAAUAAAUGUCAGCGAUUUGGAGACAAUUAUUAUUGUCUUAGAUGUAAAAGGAAGUACUCAAUGCCUUCAAAAAGGCAAUAUCAUGGGUAACUUGUUUGUUUACUCACUUUACCUCAGCUUAUUUAAGCGUGCAUAACAAUGUAAACUCACAACCAUUUAUGUGGUCGUGAGAUCAAUUCUUACUUUGUACCAAGGCAAUUUAUAAAACACAUGUUGAACGUGUGAAUGCUAUGGGCAAAUGAAUACUUUAUAGUCAUUGCCCGUUUCCUCUGUACAAAAAUAUUGGCCAUAACUGAUAUUACUCUCCUCAGAACCUACAAACCAAACCACCAAAGCAACCAAAAAAAAAAAAAAAAAACAGCCAUGGGGACAGAAACAAGUUCAACAUUAAAACUUCCUCUGUUUUCAGUAAAUUCAGCUGAGGAUUUAGGGAUGUUACCCCCUCUUCACACUUCAGCUUCAAUUCCAAUUUCGUGGGAAGAAGAACCUGGAAGGCCUAGCCCAUGUACUGACCUUAUCCCUCUUCCGAACUCCAUUAAUUUCCAUGAGCCCAAAUUAUGCUUAAAGGCACAUCCUAGGCUUUACAUGGAAUCUACCAAAAGUUCUUCUUCCACAACUCUUUUUUUUAUGGGGAGUGUCAAUGGUCAAAACACAACUUUACCAGCUUGCUUAUGUUUUCGUUCUUUUUGCAUCAAAUGUUUUCUCCAUCAAGAGAAACUAGUGAUGCAAAUGCGAGAAAUGUAAUAAUAAGACAUACCUUCCUGAGGAGAAUGGCAAUGUCAGCUUGAGAAUCUUCAAUGGACUGACUGCCACAUUCUGUACACCUAACAUUGUGGCUGAUAUUUCUUGCUCUCGUCUCUACUAACCUCUCCUUCGUCACCUGAGCCUCUUCCCCUUCCAUGGAAAUAUAUAAUCAAAUUUUCUGCUCAAUAACAAAGUUUCCAAACAAGCUGUAAACAAGUGAUAGAGUAACCAAAUAAGAACUUAAUCAAGAAAAUCCAAAUUUUCAGCUACGCAUUUUAUCAAACACCUCACAUGCACAGUACCCAACUAUACCAAUACAACACAAUUAUGCACAAAUAGUAUAUUUAGGGUAGCAAGCAAACAUAUGCAAUAGAAAAAGUAGCGAUUGAACUUUAACAACCAUCGGAUUUCACUAUAUUUCAGUCAAGAACACUUUCGGACCUCUAUAUAUGGAUUAUGCAACUUAGCAUGGCAGAAAAAAUAAAAUUAAAAAAACAGCAACAUAAAAUUCACAAAAAUAUCAAAAAGGGGAAGAAAAAUAUAGAAAAAAUCACCAAUUUGAAGCUUUCCUUUGACGAAAAAAAAAACAGUAGAUACCUGUGAUGGGAGAGGAACAAUAUGGCGAAGCUGGAAAUAGCGGGGCGGGUUGGACGGGCCAUUAAUGUUUGGGCCAAAUAUGUGUCUAGUGAUUAUGGGCCAUGGGCCUAUAAUGAUAGUAUAUGGGCCUAAAAUGAUUCUGAACCAAAUAAAUCACGCAGCCCAACAUUUUAGUCCGGAAAAACCCGAAAGGUUGGAAUUACACUGGUGGCGGCAAACGAGUAGAUAAAAUCAAUCUUGGUAUUCCCUCCGUUCCACAUUAGAUGGACACUUUAUAUUUUACAUGAUGAUUAAAAAUUAUUAAUAGACUGAUCGACUUUACUAUUUUGACUCUUGUUCAUAUCAAUGUACAUAAAUAAGUUAGAUAAAAUAUACAUAGAGUAUAGGAAUAACUAGUAUUGAGAAAUGUUUAAACUUUCAAAAGUCAUAUUGGUCGUAAGGGUAAAAUGAGAAGAAAAAAUUAAUUUUAUCAUAAUUUAGUAAAUGAUCAAGUAUAGUGGUCAUUUAAUAUGGAAUGGAGGGGAUAACAAUUUCUGCAUAUCAGCUGUUUAUACCUAAUCACACCAACUAACCAUGGUUAAGAAUUUAUGAGCUGAUAAUUUAAAGUAUUUACUUAUAUAUCAGCCUGGCCCGGAUGAGCUUGUUGGUUUGUGGGACUUGUGCAAUAUGGUUUGAGGCUUUGAGUCAGCCUGUGGGCUAAAUAAAAUAUAAUUAAAAAUUAAAAAAUAAAUGGAAUAUUAAAAAGAGAAUUUUUUAUAAUUGACAUACAUAAUACUAAAUAUUAUUAGUUAUGACAUUAUUCUUUAUGUUUCAAGUUUUAACAUUUAAAAAUUACAGGCUAUUUAAAGUUUGAAAUAUUAAAAUUUAGAAUCAUCAAACGUGAUGUACUCAAUAUUUCUAUUACUACUAAUCAUCAUUCAAUAUUGAUGGACAUGUACUCACCAAGUAUAUAAGUUGCAUCUAUCAUGAAAAUAUUCAAACACUUGUAGCUACUCGAAAUCAGUUGCAUGAUUUUUCUCAAACCGAUAACAUUUUUCUUUGUAUAUUUAAAUACUAUACGUAAUUCUUAAAUUUAGUUAUUUUUUAAUAUUUAGCUAAUUGAUAUUGCAUAUAAACUGUAUAUUAAAAUUAAGAUAUCCUGUCGAUAUUUAUGUUAAUAUUUUUAAAUUAUAAUUUGAUUUAAAAAAAAUAUACAUUUUUUAAAAGUGAGAUGACCCGAUACAGUUCGAAGCCCACGUACUGGUUGGUUGGGCUGAAUGUUUACUUGCCCACAAAAAAAUGAGUCAAUCUAGACUGACUCGUCAAUUUCAAGACUUGUAUGGGCUAGCCCGAAUGGGACGACCAACUCAUAUUGAUAGCUCUGUUUGAAAUGUUUAUUCUAGGAAAAACUACAUAAAUUCCACUAGUUUAGUAUUUAAUUACUAAGAUUUUUGAUAGUUUUAAAUAUUACUUUCUCUACCAUAUUUCAUCCUUAGGAUACAUGAGUUUGAAUUCGCAAGAUACAUGUAUUUGCCGAAUGUGCUUAAUUCUGUAAAUUUAAAUUAAUCAAAUCCCUUAAUAUAAGACAGAAAUCAAGGAGUGUAUCUAUGUUUAAUUUAUUUUAUUUUAUUAUUCUUUGAGAUAGGAGUAAUAAAUUUAUUAAUAUUAUUACUAAAAAACAAAAACAUGUAUUUCAUGGUCAUGUAAUUUGAUUAAUUUCAUUUUAUUACUUUUAAAAUAAUAAAUUCAUUGAUUUGAUGAAUUUAUUAUCAAUUUAUGAUGUAUCGAACAAAUUAAACACUUAGAUACAUGAGUAUCAUACAAGUACAUUCAUAUGUAUCAUAGAAGUAUCUAGUAUUAAUUUCAUGUAUUUGUUAUAUUAGCUUCAAAGGGGAAGAGAAGAGAUGAUUCAAUCUUUAUUUUUGAUGGAACUUUUAAUUGGGUUUGGGUUAAGGGAUGUGGGUAUGGGUCAGGUGGGUAGGAUAAAAUUUUGGUGGGUUGAUAUUAAAAAUUAUCCAAUAGAAAGAUGCCACAUAAUAAUUAAUAGAAAUAAUAAUUCAAAAACAAAAGGCUGUUAGUUUUAAGGGUAAUAAUGGACCAAAAAGAUGGACUGAAGGGUAUUUUUAGCCCAAUAGAUGAAUGAGGGAUAUAUUUAAACCUUUUCUGAUAGUUCAAGGAUAUUUUUGACACUUUUCCGUAUAUAAAAUGGGAAGAGAUAUAGAAAUAUGUGAUGGUGAGUCAUGCUUUUUUCUUGCAUUUACUAAUCAGCAGCUGCUUCCACUUCCCCAUCAUUAUUCUGUCUGUAGAUUCAGCAGUCCUCGAUUUUUUCGUCUUUUUUUUUUCAAUUUUGAAUUUGCGUUUCUCAUAGUUUUACUUCUCCAUUCAUCCCCAAUUCCUCUGAUUAAUAACCUCUAGUAAGUGAGGAGAUGGAGCAAGAAAUGGCAGAGUUUCUUCCUCUAAACCGAGGAUCUAAAAUGGAGGAUUCAGAGAGGCAAACUUUUUCUCUGAUUCCAAUUAAAAGUAGAAAGAAGGGUGGACUAAUUACCAUGCCUUUUAUCAUAGGUACUGGAGUAGUUUCAAAUAUUUUGGGGAUCUUUUUUGUUAUGUUUUAUAAUUAAUUAAGUUUAUUUUGAAUCAUUUCAGCAAACGAGGCACUGGAGAAUGUGGCGAGCUAUGGACUUUUACCAAAUAUGACAUUUUAUUUGAUGAGAGAAUACAGGAUGGACAUUACUACAACUCAAAAUCUUCUGUUUUUCUGGUCAGCUACUACUAAUUUUUUGCCUAUUGUUGGAGCUGUUGUUGCUGAUUCAUAUUUAGGUCGAUUCCUUACUAUUGGCCUUGGUUCCAUCUUCAGUUUCCUGGUAUAUAACUUUUAACUUAAAACUAAUAUGUUGCUAAUUAGUGUUUUAUAGUUUCCGAUCUUCUUCUUCUCGUUCGGGUCGAGGUCACCAGUUUCUUGUCUUUGUCUGUGUGAUCUGUAUGAUAGGUCACUGUAAAAGCUUGCGCGAUAGCAAAUAUUUGUUGUAAUUUUUGUGAUUUUUUGCGAGUGUGCACCCGAAAAAUAGGUUCAGUUGGACCUGUUAACUAUACAGUAUAUGUGGCUAUUCCCAUAAAACAAGAGGAUUGUAGUUAAGUUACCUACUUUUAACACUUCAAUGCCCUCUUGUUGCAGGGAACAGUAGUGCUGUGGUUAACAGCAAUGAUUCCGAAAGCAAGGCCUCCGCCUUGCGAUCAAUCAGGACAGGCUUGUAAAUCUACAACGACAUCACAAUACAUGCUCUUGGUUUUCUCGUUUCUGCUCAUGUCAAUUGGUGCUGGAGGUAUAAGACCGUGUUCUUUAGCCUUCGGUGCUAACCAGUUUGACAAGGGAGGUAGUAAUCCCAACAAGCAUACGGUGUUGGAGAGCUUCUUUGCCUGGUAUUAUACUUCAUCCAUAGUCUCUGUUCUGAUUGCCCUGACAGGUAUCGUUUACCUUCAAGACAGACUGGGGUGGAAAAUAGGUUUUGGAGUUCCUGCAAUCCUAAUGUUCUUAUCCGCGCUGUUUUUCUUCCUUGCUUCUCUGUUUUAUAUCAAGCCAAAGGUUCGCUCAAACGUGUUUGCCAGCUUUAUACAAGUACUUGUCGUUGCCUGCAAGAAUAGGAAACUCCGCUACCCCAAUCAGAACUCUGAUUACCAUCACAAGAAUGGUUCAGGACCUCAAGUGCCAACGGAUAAAUUGAGAUUCUUAAACAAAGCUUGCAUCAUUAAAGGCCCUGAAGAUGUUAAGCUAAAUGGAGGUGCAGCCAAUCCAUGGAACCUUUGCACAGUGGAGCAAGUUGAGGAGCUAAAAGCCCUCAUUAGAGUCAUGCCAUUGUGGUCGACGGGGAUCAUGAUAUCAAUAAACUUGAGCCAAAGUUCAUUCCCUCUACUACAAGCACAAUCCAUGAAUAGGCAUCUAACUAAAGGAUUCCAAAUUCCAGCAGGGUCAUUUGGGAUGUUUAUGAUGAUUGCGUUAACAAUUUGGGUUUUUCUCUAUGACCGAGUGAUGCUUCCAUUGGCAUCGAAGAUCAAAGGAAGACCAGUUCGUCCAAAACCUAUAGUCAGAAUGGGAAUUGGCAUAUUCAUCUCUUGCAUAUCCAUGGUAGUCUCUGGUAUUGUGGAACACGUUCGACGAAGAAGAGCAAUCAGUGAAGGGCUCUUGAGCAACUCACAUGGGUUGGUGGAGAUGUCAGCAUUGUGGCUCAUUAUACCAAACAGUUUAAAUGGGAUCGCAGAGGCAUUCAGCGCGAUCGGCUCCACAGAGUUCUAUUAUUCGGAGCUCCCAAAGAGUAUGUCAAGUAUUGCAUCUGCUCUUUUAGGACUGGGAAUGGCAGUGGCAAGUCUUUUAGCAAGUGUGAUUUUGAAUGCUGUGGAUAAGUACACCAAAGGAGAAGGGACAGAAAGUUGGGUUUCAAGCAAUAUCAACAAGGGACACUAUGAGUAUUACUACUGGCUUCUUGCUCUAUUGACAGGUUUUAAUCUGCUUUAUUUUGUGGCUUGUUGCUGGCAAUAUGGACCUUCUGCUGAUGUUGACAUCACUAAGAGAAUGAUGGAGCUUAGUGAUGAUGAUGAUCAUCUUUCAUAGUAGAAUGACUCAGGCAAACUCAACUGACAAAACUCAGGUAAACUCGGUGAAAUGCGCCAAAUUAUGCUAGUUUACCACAGUCAAAUUAUAAAUUGAGAUACUAAUAUAUACUUAUGAAGCUAUAAAGCUUAUGAAAAAGAUGUGUGGUCUUCAGUUAUUGAUUUGAUGCCUGUUUAUGGUUUGGAGGUGAGCAAGGGUUGGAACAACUCACCUUCCCCAUAGCAUUCCGAGGCAGCGAAUCGAGUAGGUAUCUGUUACAUAAGUUGAACGACAAACAUUAGUUUAGCAGGCAUAUCUUGGUACUCGAGUAUUACAUUUAUCUUGCAUAAGAACCAAAUCACAAAACAAUACUUUCUGUCCCAAGUUAUAGUUAAUCAAUAUCAACAGAGUAAGCGCAUAAAUUCCUUAUCCCUGGAAUGGAAGCAGAAAGAAGUCAUGGAAAUAAUUAUUCUCGUUAAGAAAGAUUCAAAAGGGGAAUGAGGCAAGAAUAUGCCUUCUGAAAAGUUUGCAUAAUCUCUUGAUAACAAUGAUAUUGUAUAGGCAGAUGAUAUUCAGAAUAUCGAUUGGUAUUGAAAGAAGUAUCAAUGAACAUACGUAUCAGCUAGCUCUAACUUUAUUAAGGACAACGGAAUAGGAGAGUGUGUAGCAUCCUGGUCCAACAGAGUAUGCUGUGUGAGAUAUUCAGCAAACAGAACAGAUGGUACUCCAAGAAUACAGAGUAGUUGUCAUAGAUGCAAAUAUCCAUCAACCUCCAUUAAGAGAUUAAUAAGAAUAAGAACACAAAUGGAAAAUGUCUAACCUAAUACAAAGAGCAAAGAAGCCUAAUAAACUACACAAUAGAAUUUGAAAAUGCAUUAUAUUUCCUUCAUUGUUUCUGAUUCAUUUAACAGUCAGAAUUAGUUAUUCCAUAAAGGAUUACUACAAGUCUUUAGCACCCCACCCUACAUCAACAACUAGGCUUAAAUGCUACCAAAAGUUGGUAUCGGCUAUAUGAAUCCUCAGACUAUGGUGUUCCAUUUAGAACAAUAUCAUACAAUAUAAAAAUAGAAACAAAAAGGCAAUGUUCGUUUCUCCUUUCCCCACCCGAAUAAAAUAAUAAGAAAAUACAAUACUAUUAGCACAAAAUUCAGUCGCCAAGAGCAAAAUCUUCGUUAUAGAUAAGCUAAAUGCCAUACGAGAUUGCUUGAAAGUAAACAAAAUUCAAAUUGCUACCAUUUCUCAAUCUCAACAAAGGCGAAUGACGCACAUGAAAAGUUAAUAAUUCCAUUUUGAUUGGGCGAUCGCAUAUAAAAACACAGAGAAUGAGAAUUAUUGAAAUUGACAAGGUUCGAUGAAGAAUAUGCAUUGAAAAAGGGAGAGCAAUUGAAACGAAAGUGGUUGAGUAACUCUUCUGUUUUGCCCUUCACCCUCUCCAAAAAUAACCGAACCGAACCAAAAAGUUAUAUACAUAAAUUUUAUUAUUAUACAUACACAAUAUAUUAGAUUCAUAAACAAUUUUAAAGAUUUUAUAUCUGUUUCAUCAAAAUUUAUUUAUAAUUUACUUAUGAAAGAAAAAAUGUCCAAGGUGAGAACAUUUUUCUUAUUGGUUUCAUGUAUAUGAGUGUCUAUGAAAAUUCUUUGUGGAACUGAAAAUGUCAUUGUCUCUUCCUUCAAUGUCAAAAUAGUGAAUUUUGAAGUUUUAUUCAGUAAAUUCAAUAAUCGAAAGUUCUGUAAUGCCAGUCAUUCUAACUAUUUUUUUGUUUGAAUGGAUGGUUGUCAUUUUUUUUACAUUUUGAAUGAAUUGUUUCUUUUAUUUUUGUGUAUGGUUAAUACCCGAAUAACCGAACCAAACUAAACCAAAACCGAAAACAACCAAACCAAUAAACGUAUAUUAUAUUUGGAACAACCAAACUGAUAAAUAUAUACUAUAUUUGGUUUGGUUUGGUUUUGAUAAUUUUAAAACCGAUUAAGUUGGUUUGGUUUUGGUUUUGACCAAUAACCGACCCAAAUCAAACCGUGAACACCCCUAAGUGUGUCUAUGACAAUUCUUUAUAAGAUUGAAAUUAUCACUUUCUCUUUCUUCUAGGCCAAAAUAAUGAAUUUUGAAGCUUUAUUCAUAGUAAAUUCAAUGAUUGAAAGUUCCGUAAUGUCAGUCAUUCUAACUAUUUUCGUUUCAAAUGGAUUGUUGUCACUUUUUUUUCACGUUUUUAAUGAAUUGUUUCUUUUAUUUUUGUCUAUGGUUAAUAACCGAAUAACCAAACCAAAACCGAACCAAAACCGAUAACAACCAAACUGAUAAAAUAUAUACUAUAUUUGGUUUGGUUUGGUUUUGAUAAUUUUAAAACCGAUUAAGUUGGUUUGGUUUUGAUUUUGACCAAUAACCGAUCCAAACCAACCCGUGAACACCCCUACUUUUGAUUAUUUCCUUAUAAUAAAGGUCAGUAUUUAAAUCGUAAAUGGACUUUUAUUGAAUAGUACUCUUUCAUUAAAAAAAAAAAAAAGGUAAUUGGGCCUAGAGCAUUUCUUUAAAUAAAAAGAAAUUUUCAUUAUAACUGAAAUGGAACAAUAUUACAAACAGGUCCUUGAAUUAAAAGGAUAUAAACUUCAAACAUGAAUAGAAUUUGGUAAAAAAUUAAAAAUUACAACCUUAAUUUAAACAAUAACAAAAAUCAGUACUCUUUAAUUUACUUGUACAUGGAUUGUACUGAGGGAGCUUGAUUCAUUUGCUGGUUUCCAUAUUGCUGCUGAGCAACGAUGCCAUUCCAACCUGCAUUAAGUUUUACAGACCCAUAUUAACAAUUUGAUUCUCUUUAAAAUGUUACUCUAUUAAGUUAAUAGACGCGUAUCUAAAUAAUGUUAUGUGGAUUUAACUGAACUCAUUAUUUUCGACUUGAACUAUAUAUGUACUUAUAUGAAAAACAUUUGAAAAUGCAUGCAUAUAAUAAGAUUAUGUUCAUUCUGAACUCACUGACUCUAGUUUCUAGAUUUGCCUAUGAUAAAGCAGAACAUUAAUAGGAAAGACAAUUUCAUACCUAGAGCUGGAUCGAGUCCCCUGAUACGAAGCUCUCUGAACUCUUGACAAAGUGAACAAAAUGGACAAAAGAUGUGAGCAACUACAUCUGAAUAGGGAGCUUCCACCAGAUUGUACCUCUGCCUCAACUUUGUUCUGUACUUGGAGCCCAUGAUCCAUUGAGAGCAAACAGCAGGCAUCAUCAAGAGGUACAUAAAAGACCCCAAUGGACAAGCUGCAACCGCCAUCCAAAUAUCACAAAGAAUUACUAACACACUUCUUUUACAAGGCAAAUUGGAUAGAUUUUAGAGAAUAGCUUACUCAUUUCUCCUGCAUCUUGAACUUCAGCUAUCUGUCCAAACGUCACACAAGGUAAAAACGCUGUCAUGGCAGCUGCACAAACAUGUUUAAUAUUAAUAUCAUUGCUACAUAAUAGCUACAGUAUCUAAAAAGGAGGAGAGUUGUAGUAGGCUGACAACCAGCGUAAAACUAGUCAAUUUAUGAUGAAUCCUUCACCUCAUGAUAAGACAGUAAUUGAUACUAAGAUUAUAAUUGUAUACAUACCAUUAGUUUGGUCCAAAUGACAAUCAAAUAAGCCAGUGCUCCAUGGAGUUCCUGGCACACCGCCGACUGGCUGAGGAUUUUCAGUUUCAUUAGAGGAAUCAAUUCUUCCCAUUGUAUCUAAAGCUUUGGAGUCUGAGUAGGAAGAAGAUAAAUGAGAUACUUUCUUAUGCUAUUUUAAAGAUCUGGUCAUAUCGUACUUGAUAAGAAAGGAGUAUGUGUUUACUUUGAAUAACUAAUCAAUUAAGACACUUCAAGUUUGCUGGAGUCAACUGUUCGUUUUGAGUUUAGACGUUUACUUAAUCACAGAAUUGGAAAAAGGGUGAUUUCAAAUCAAAACUUUGGUAUUAUAAGUUUGAUUCCAAGCCAAGUUGGCUAAGGUGUUCACAUGUCAGUAGCCGAUAAUUGUGGCAAAUUGCACACUGGAAAGUCAUAGGUAGAAUGUUCCCAGCCUGUAAGUUUGAAGCAACUUCUUUUUUCAACUUCUUUGUAACACUCUGUAGUGUGAAUGUAAUAGUUGAAAGUCUCACCUCUAUCGAAGAGAUUGUGACUAAAAGCUAGUUAUGCAAAAGUCAACUUUUGAUAGAGGAUAGGAAUGAAAAACUAACUGUAUAAUAUAUGCUAAGAUGCUCUUAUCACAAAACUAUGUAAGCAUUAUUAUUACAUUGAAGUUAACUCAUAACCAAAUUGUACCCUUUUGUACAAUAAGAUAUCGAUAACUUAUAUCAGGGAAUACCCUUAGAAAAAUGUAUAAUCAGGAUGACGGAUGACCAAUUCAAACACGCCAAUGCAAAAUGACAUGGAUAGGGUGGUUUCUUGACUAGCUGGCAACUUGAGAUAUUCUAGCAAAAAAAUAGAAUACAAGGGAAGUGAUGACGGGUUAAAGAGUUUUCAUUGCUGAAGCAAUCUUCUCCACCAACUCAAGGAAGACGUUCCUCCAGGAGGUGGUGUGAGGACAUUGAGCAUGGUUUCUUUCUCCUUUGGGGUUAAUGGAAUUCCUCGAACGAGAUUCAAAGCCAUAAUGUGCACAUUGGUCUUCUGUCUGUGCUUCUUGUAAGCCCACAAACCUCCAGCAGCACCAGCAACUAGUAGCUGCAUCAAGAAAAUAUCAAAAAACUUCAGUGUGUCAGUCUAUUAAUACAAUCUUUGAAAUAUCAAUGCAGAGGUGGAUAAAAACUUCAACUGACCGGAGAGAGCCAUAAAGCAGCCGUCUGCAUAUCAAAUUUUGGGGCAUAAAGUACGGUUUCACCAAAAUCAUCUUCAAGCUUUGUAUAGAUGUCCUUGUCAGACUUCCCAGCUUUAAUUUCAUCUCGAAUUAGCUAAAACGAUGAACCCAAGUCAAAAAGCACUCCCAAAAGUAGGAAAAACUUAGGCAUGGAUACAAGGACUUAUAUGCAGCUACUCCAUUUGUUUCAUUUUUGAAAAACGUUUAAUAGCUAGAACAAACAUACAAUUAGUUGGCAAAAAGAGUAUCUGAUUAGAUAAAUGAAAGUACCUAAAGCAACAUGAUGCAAAGCAAAGAGCACUUGUCCUAAAUGAAAAAUGCACUUCUGUGUGAAAAACAUUCUACUUCAGUAUGAUAAUUUAGGUAAUUAGUAAGUUGGUCCAAAAGACGAAGAAUUAUGACAUUACACUCUCAUAGUAGCAAACCUAAUAAAAAAUGAAAUGUCAACCACAAAUUCAGGAAGUCUUGGUUUUUGUGCUUGGAUUAACUCUUCAUCAAUCAAAAGCAAGUUUCACAAACAAAGAAGAUUAAAUCGUUCCCAGUGCACACAUACAAAAUAGUUCCUUGGUAGUUCAAAAUACAGUUCCGUUUUUAUUCAAAAAAUGAUGGACAAUCCAGAAAUAGCAUAUUCAAUCGGUUCAAGAAACCAGACCAUAGAACAGGAAAGAACCGAUUGAAAGAGUUCAGUUUACACAUUAUAAGAACACAGCGGAAAGAACUAGUUGAAGUGGGGAAAAUAAAUGUCAGCGAUAUGGGGACAAUUAUUAUUGUCUUAAAUGUAAAAGGAAGUACUCAAUGCCUUCAAAAAGGUAAUAUCAUGGGCAACUUGUUUGUUUACUCACUUUACCUCAGCUUAUUUAAGCUUGCAUAACAAUGUAAACUCAUAACCAUUUAUGUGGUCGUGAGAUCAAUUCUUAUUUUGUGCCAAAGCAAUUUAUAUAACACAUGCUGAAAGUGUGAAUGCUACGUGGGGAAAAUGAAUAUAUUAUAGUCAUUGACCUUUUCCUCUGUACAAAAAUAUUGGCCAUAACUGAUGUUACUCUCCUCUGUACCUACAAAUCAAACCAGCAAAGCAACAAAAAAAAAAAAAAAAAAGAGCCAUGGGGACAGAAACAAGUCCAAAAUUAAAACUUCCUUUGUUUUCAGUAAAUUCAGCUGAGGAUUUAGGAUGUUAACCCCUCUUCACACUUCAGCUUCAAUUCCAAUUUUGUGGGAAGAAGAGCCUGGAAGGCCUCGUCCAUGUACUAACCUUGUCCCUCUUCCAAAUUCCAUUAAAUUCAAUGAGCCCAAAUUAUGCUUAGAGACACAUCUUAGGCUUUACAUGGAAUCUACCAAAAGUUCCCUCACAACUGUUUUUUUAUGGGCCUUAUAUUACCAUAAAAAGAUGGCAUGGAGUGUCAAUGGUCAAAACACAACUUUAGCAGCUUCCUUAUGUUUUUCUUCUUUUUGCAUUAAAUGUCUUCUCCAUCAGGAGAAAUUUUUUUUGAUGACAAGGGAAACCCGUAGCCGCUAUCCUUUGGGUGCGCACAGGGUAAACCCGCUCCUAUGCAAUAGCUCAUAAACUACAUAGAAGAGGUAACCCGCACUAGGCAAGCCCGGUGCGAUGAGCUCGACCCAGAAGGCUCUCCAUCAAGAGAAACUAGUGAUGCAAAUGCGAGAAAUGUAAUAAUAAGACAUACCUUCCUGAGGAGAAUGGCAAUGUCAGCUUGAGAAUCUUCAAUGGACUGACUGCCACAUUCUGUACACCUAACAUUGUGGCUGAUAUUUCUUGCUCUCGCCUCUACUAACCUCUCUUUCGUCACCUGAUCCUCUUCCCCCUCCAUAGAAAUAUAUAAUCAAGCUUUCUGCUCAAUAAUAAAGUUUCCAAACAAGCUGUAAACAAGUGAUAGCGUAACCAAAUAAGAACUUAAUCAAGAAAAUCCAAAUUUUCAGCUACGCAUUUUAUCAAACACCUCACAUGCACAGUACCCAACCAUACCAAAACAACACAAUCAUGCACAAAUAGUAUAUUUAGGGUAGCAAGCAAGCAUAUGCAAUAUAUAAAGUAGCGAUCGAACUUUAACAACCAUCGGAUUUCACUAUAUUUCAGUAAAGAACAUUUUCGGACCUCUAUAUAUGGAUUAUGUAACUUAGCAUUGCAAAAAAAAAAAAAGCAACAUAAACUUUACAAAAAUAUCAAAAAGGGGAAGAAAAAUAUAGAAAUAAAUUGAAAAACCGACCAAGUUUGAAGCUUUGUUCAAGAAAAAAAAGAACCUGUAGAUACCUGUGAUGGGAGAAGAGCAAUGGCGAAGCUGGAAAUAAAGGGGCGGGUUAGACGGGCCAUUAAUGUUUGGGCCAAAUUUGUGUCUAGUGAUUAUGGGCCAUGGCCUAUAAUGAUAGUAUAUGGGCCUAAAAUGAUUCUGAACCAAAUAAAUCAAGGGAAAAUUGUAUAUAAUAACAAACUAUUAAUUCAAAUUAAAUGCUAUAAAUAUAGUUUGAUUUAAUUGUACCUCAUAGCAAACUGUUGCUAUUUCACCUCUCUCCUGGUGAAUCUCGCUCGCCACUCUCGAUCUCUCCCUCGCCUCUCUCAUUUUUUAUAAGAACUCAAGUGUAUAAAGUGUGUUUGUGUUUGUAUAAAGCGAGAGAAAAUUGUAUAUAUACAUAUAUUUUCGUUCCCCUCUCUCCCCUCUCCCAGAUCUCGCUCGCCACUCUCCCAGAUCUCGCUUACUCACUCGCCUCUCUCACUUUAUACAAUUGAUCUUUUUGUAUAUGUAUACCAAAACAGAUUAUACAAUUGCUUUCUUUUGUAUCUGUAUAGCGAAAUAUACAUAUUUAUAUUUGCUAUGGAGCGCAAUUAUGCAAACUUUGCUAUAGCAUACAAAUAUGAAUUUUGUGUUUGUUAUAUGUGAAAGUUGCUCAUAAAUCAACCAGCCCAAUAUUUUAGUCCGAAAAAACCCGAAAGGCUGGAAUUACGCUGGCGGCGGCCUUAAAUUAGAUGAACACAUUUUAUUUUACAGGAUGAUUAAAAUUAGUAAUAGAUUGAUCGACUUUACUAUUUUGACUUUUGUUCAUAUCAAUGUUCAUAAAUAAGUUAGAUAAAAUAUACUAUAGGAAUAACUAGUAUUAAUAAUUGUUUAAACUUUCAAAGGUCAUAUUAAUCGUAAAGGUGAAAUGGGAAAAAAAUAAUUAAUUUUAUCACAAUGUAGUAAGUGAUCAAGUAAAAUGGGACACCUAUUUUUAGUAAAAUGCUCAUCUAAUAUGGAAUGAAAGGGAUAAUAAUUUAUGCAAUAGGGUGUUUAUACCUAAUCACACCAACUAACCAUGGUUAAUAAUUUAAUGAGCUGAUAAUUUAAAGUAUAUGCUAAUAUAUCAGCUCGGCCUGGAUAAGCCUGUUGGUUUGUGGGCUUGUGCAAUAUGGUUUGAGCCGGCCCGUGGGCUAAAUAAAAAAUAAUUAAGAAUUAUCAAUAAAAUGGAAUAUUAAAAAGAUAAAAUUUUAUAAUUGACAUAUAUAAGACUAGUUAUGACAUUAUUCUUUAUGUUUCAAAUUUUAACAUUUAAAAAUUACAGACUAUUUAAAGUUUGAAAUAUUAAACUUUAAAAUCAUCAAACGUGAUGUACUCAAUAUUCCUAUUACUACUAAUCCUCAUUCAAUAUUGAUAGAUAUGUGCUCACCAAGUAUAGAAGUUGCAUCCAUCAUGAAUAUAUUCAAACACUUUUUAGCUACUCAAAAUCAAUUGUAUGAUUUUUCUCAAACUGAUAAUUUUUUUUUGUACAUUUAAAUACUAUACGUAGUUCUUAAAUUUAGUUAUUUCUUAAUAUUUAGCUAAUUGAUAAUGCAUAUAAACUGUAGAUGAAAAUGAAGAUAUCAUGUUGAUAUUUAUGUUAAUAUUUUUAAAUUAUAAUUUAAUUAAAAAAAAUAUUUAAAAUAUAUUUUUUUUAAAGUGAGAUGACCUGACACAAUCCGAAGUCCACGUACUGGUUGGUUGGGCUGAAUGUUUACUGGCCCACAAAAAAAUGAGUCAAUCUAGACUAUCCGUCAAUGAACUUUCGCAUACAGCCACUCAAAAAUAGCCUAAUUACGCUCCAUAGCUAUAGUAUGUUAAUUAUGAUUCAUAGCUACAUGUUAUGGGGAGGAGAGUGGAGAGCGAGACUGGAAGAGGGAGGAGAGAGGACAGAGAGUGGGAGAGAGGUGAAUUGUAUAUGUAUAUCGGUUAGAUAAUUGUAUAUUAUACAUAUGUAUUUGUAUAUUCUGGCGAGAGAGAUGGGAAAGGGAGGAGAGGCGAGCGAGAUUGGACAAUAAUUUGUAUAAUUCUCAUCUCAUUUGAAUAAUUCGCAGGUACGUUUGUAUAAUUCACGUAUUUUUGUAUAAUGAGUAAUAUAAAGCCUGGAAUUAUACAAAUAUAAUAAAACUCGAAAUAACGAAUUGAUACAAACAUAAACAUAUGAACUUUAAAAAAUUAUACAAAAUAUACUAUACAAAUUACAUUAUAUAAAUUAUAUUAUACAAAAUCCAAAAACUACACAUUUAUACAAACUUUAAAAGUUAUACACAAAAAGAUUGAAUGUAUAUGAUGACAAAACUGAAAAACUAAGGAAAUCAUCGUCAUAUACAAAUAUAAACAAUCGUAUACAAAUACAAAUCAAACAAAGAAUUGUUAGCUGCGAAUUAUACAAUUAUGACGAAUUAUACAUGUACAAACGUGGCUAAUAUACAAACUGGAAGUCAUCCCAUGUAAUUAAUGUAUAAUGUUAGUCGCGAGUGAUAAUUAUAGCAAACUAUAGCUAUGAUGAGUAAUUAAGUAGUAUAAAUUUGCUUAACCGCAUAAUUUUCCCAUUUCAAUAUGAGAUUAGCUCGAAUGGGACGACCCAUAUUGACAGCUCUUUUUAAAAUGUUUAUUCUAUGCAGCAAAACUAGUAUUUAUAUUUUAUACCAAUUAAAAUUAUCCUUCUCUUCUUAAUUUCUUUUUCAAUAGCUUGUCCAAUUUUGGUGCGUGGAAUAUGACCAUUCUGUCCAUUCAUAAUAAAUUCAAUUAUUUAAGUCUAGAUUUUGGGACAUGUUUUCAUCCUGAAAUAAACUAGUCCUAUGUACCAAGAAGAGAUAGAAAGUACUCCAUAUAUGUCAUACGUAACCAAUAAAAAUCGUUAUAAAAUGAUAAAUAUUUUUUCAUUUUUCAUUAAAAGCUUUGUGCUCUACCUUUAGGAUAUGAAAUCAAUUUUGUUAAUAAGCGUUUUAUCUUUCAUAUGUAAUAAAUUUAAUCAGAUCCUAUAAUAUAAAUAUCGAACACCGAAUAUACGGAAAAAAAAGUUUGAAAAGUUUUUGGGCUUAGUUCAAUAAGGGAGAAGAGACAAAUAGAGGUGGGAAAAUCUAUAAAUUAAAAUAGGCAUUGAAUUUGUCAAAACACAAUAAGGUGAUAUAACAAGCAAUGGCCACAUUAAAAGAAAGUCUCUUUAUAUAUAUAGUGUGUUUUGGCCUUUGGGGCCCUAGCUAUUAUCUUUAAUAUCUCUCUUGUCUUAGACUCCACAAACCAACAAUAUCAUGAGACCUUUUGUUUUCUUACACUUUAUUUUUGUUUCAUUAUUAUCAGCUUUAGUGCCUUUAUUUCUCUUCAACAUUAUUAUUUUUUGAUAGUUACUUUUCACCUGUCUUCCAAAACUAACAUUCCCCACUCUUUUUCCCCAUCUACUUUUUUCCCUCAACCAACCUUCUUCCCUAAGUCAAUAAUCCAUAUAUAUUGCAUGUAUAUAUGUUCUUCAUAAAUGCACGUCUUUUCUCUUUACUUAUUUUUUUCACCAAACGAUGUGUGUGGUAAACUAAUGGUAGAGUUGUGGCGCAGUAGCUACGGAUUUAGCAGAAUUCAGUAAUUUUAACUUAAACUUUGUAUUCAUUCAUUUAACAUGUGCACAUAAUUUGUUUAGAAACCAACUAUAAGCAAGAAGAAUAAUUGAAAGUACUAUAUAUGAUGUAUGAAUGAGUCACACACACAUACCAUUGAAACUCGUGAUAAGAUAAUUGAAAUUUCUCCAUUCUUAAUCAAAUUAUUCCGAGUUCAAGUUGGGAAAUCAAUAAUUCUCUAAAUAAUAAUUGCAUUGCAUAAAAUACGAAAAGGCUUAUAAAAAUAAUGAUUCUCCUAACAGGCUCACCUAGCAUACGUAGAUUAAAGACUUUUCGAAUAUCAGAUAAUUAAAUAGAAAAAAUCACAUGUGUCAUGCGUAAUAUACAUAUAUAUUAGGGUCCUAACUAAUUUGAUUCACACAUUAAAAAGAGAAAUGCUUCCAAUAAAAAAAAUUCAUUCCUAGGACUCAAAGCCGGAAAUUCUAGUUAAGAGGGAAUGAAAACAUAAUCCUUUAGGUAUUACCAAAUGGACAAUUUCAUUAGAAUACUUUUUUUUUUAAAAUAAUAAUAUUUGUACUCCAUUUAUCAUUAUGAAAAGAAAUGUAUAUAUCUUUAUGUGUCUGGGACAGGAGAUGUUAGUUUGAUGCAAUUUGGUAGCAUUUAAUCCUUACUCAAAGCAAAGAGAAUAAUGAUUUGCAAUCCAUGAUAAGGUAUAUAGAAAGAUUUUCUUGGUAUCAUCAUUAUUUCUACAACUUUAUGAUGUCUCUGGCUUUAACUGAAAAAAAUUACACCACUAACAACUGGUUAAGUGGUAAGUACUCAUUUAUCUUUAAUCAAAUGUUUUGGGUUCGAGUCUUCUUGGGCACGGAGUGCCUUCGUUAGGGAAUGUUUUAUCCCCCAAUGUUGAACUUCCCGAUACGAAUUUAAAUUUUUAGUCAAGCUUCAAUAGAUAAACAUCGAAUGGGAAGACAAAAAAAUAACACCAUUUAUUGAUCAUUUACUCUUAGAAAAGGCUCCAAAAGACUCCAAAACCUUGAUUCACAAGAAAGUAAAAAAUCAUGAUACUUGGAUUGACACUUGAAACUAAAGCAAACAAACCAUCAAAUGUACAUAAACCGACUUAGUCCCAUAAAACACAAAGGAACAAAAACAUAAAGUUAAUUUAAGCACCUAAUUACAAGGUUUAAUAAUUUUCAUUCUUAUAUUCUUCAUUGCAAUCAUUUUCAUGCUAUACUUAAACUUUUAGGUCGGUGAAAAAUUAACUUUCUACAUUGGACAAAAUAUUUACCUAACUCUUUAGGUACCGUGGGUCGUAAAUGUAUUGAUGAGAGGUAACAAAUAUUUCGUGAAAUUGGUUAAGGUAUAUUGAAGUUGGCCUAAAAAUCAUAAUUAGACGUGGAGCUAUGAGUUUAUGGAUUUUAAAAAUCAUAUUGAGGAACAAAAAUUAUCAAUUCUACUGUUGAACUCGAGACAACGUUAUAGCUCCGUAUCUAACUAUAAUUAUCUAUUACUUGUAUAUAUCACACGGUCAAAAUUGGAAAUAAAGUUUUAAGAAAAUCUUGAAAAAUUAAGGAAUCUUGAAAGAUUAUUAGAAAAUUUUGGAUAUGACAUUGAAUUGAAUCUUUUGACAAUGACAAAGUUGGUAAUAACGUACCACCAGCAACGUCAGUUAAAAAAAAAUCAUGCAAAUUAAUCGGUUACUAACAUGCAAAGGUAGUUGUGCCGACAUAUCAAAGAGAAUCUUGUUUUUCCUUUUCUCAAUAUCAAUUUUAGUUGAUAUUAUUCUUUACUUGUACUAUUAUAGCGGUUUAUUUGCUUUGUUCAUUUUGCUAUUUUGUUAUUGUUAUUUUUCUUUCAAUUUUGUUCUGAUUACACUUAUUUUGGACACAAGUCCUAUGGUAAGCCUCUUUAACAUAAGGUUUGGAUACAAUCAUCUCCAAAUCUCAUUUAUGAAAUUACUUUCAAUAUAUUAUUGUUGUCAAAUUUACCUUAUUAUUAGAGAAUGGUUUGGAACGAAGUAGCUUGUCUAAAAGGAGAGGAACCCUAACCAACGUUUUGGAUUUUAGAGUUUCCUCCCCAAUCUAGGUUAGGGAGUUAUCAAUCGUAGCUUGUUGCCGAAAAACGUUGCUAGGCUAACGCGGCUUACUUCACUCUUCAAGCUCCGCCCCUGAUUGAACCAUAAGCUUUUACAUAAGGUUUUGAUACCUUUACCUUCUCCUGAUCCAUUUAUGAAAUUAGUUUCAAUAUAUUGUUAUUCUUCAAAUUUGAGUUCAACCACGAUGCUUUUUUUCUUUAAGAAUUUAAGUGUUGAUUAUUUCAACCAAAUAAACUUAAGGCCUACAUUUAAAUGAUUUGGGAUUUAAAUACAUUUCUUAAGGUACGCAUAGGACUAAUUAAUCAAAGCAAGUUGAAACGAAUUUUAAAACUGUACUACAAUAAUUUUAGCUUUUGACUUAGAAAUUUCAAAAAUUGAUUUUGUACCCCAGUUUUUAUAUAGGUUGUUAAAAGGUGACAAAAGAGUACAACUAAAUACCAAUGUCGGUUUGAUUGUACAAAUAAUUAGGACACGGAUAACAAUUUAUCAACCACAUAAAUGCCAAUCGAUAAUGGUGAUAUGAAUAAAAUUCAUCUUUUAUAUACAUGAAAAAAAUUCAGAUUCAAUUCUAUAUUACUCUGUAAAUAAAUUCCCAAUAGCAAUGACAAUAAAAAAUAAAUUAACCUACUAUCAAAUGUCUUAUUUCGUGUCUGGUAUUGUGUUGGAGUCCUGAUUGAUUUAAAUUUGCAUAGUGUAAGAUAUAUUAAUGGGAGAAGAAUUCACUAUCAAGAUCUCUCUAUUUCAAGAUACGAACCUAAAACUUUAAAUUAAAAAUAAAAGAUCUUAUUUAUCUCGCCACAAUUCAAAAUAGUAAAACUUACUAAUAAUAUAUAUCCAUAUGACUUUGGUGAGAAAUUAUGAAAGACAACAAACAAGUGAUCUCCUAGCUAGGUCACGUGUCCAUUAAUGUGAUUGAUGAGUGAGGACCCAUUGAUUGGAACUUGCAUACGUACAUACAUUACUUCUUGAGAUAGUAGCCACUUUCUUGUUCAUGUUUUCAGGUUAAAAUUUGCAGCAUAGGCCACAACUCAAUAACUCUUCAUGGGUUCAAAAAGAUAUGUACAUAAAAACUCAUGGUGGUUAAAAACUUAACUGCAUCAAUCGGGUGUUUAAAUUAAAUCAAUGUAGACAUGAUGUGCAUUAAAACAUACACACUUGACCACAAUUAAUUAAUUAGUUAAGGUAUGUUUUCACUUUAUUAAAUUGUUUAGUUAUAGUUAAUUACUAACAGUUUGAUCUAAGCACCCCGUAGGGGUGUAUCGUAUAUAUGGCCAGGUUGGUUUGAUUUUUUUAAAUAUUAACCAAAUUAUUUGUGUUGAAUUUUUAAAUUUAUAAACCAAACAAAAUUAAUACAAUUAGGAUUUUACAACCUUGGAUUAUUUUGAAUUUUUUUCAAUAAAGUAUUCGUACAAACUUAUAAUUAAUUUAUGCUCCAAAUAUUUUUUUAGUCCUACCAAAAUACAACUAUCUAAGGUGUGUUUUUUUUAGAAAAUAACACAAAAUAUGAAAUGAGUGAGGACACAAAACUAUUCAACAAAAAAUAAUAACAAAAUCACAUAAAAUAAAUAUUGCAAUUAAUAAGUCACAAUGAAAAUGAUUAUAAUUUAAAGGUAUUAAAUCAUGUUAAAAUAAGUGUAAUAAAUAUUAAUUACAUGAUUAAACAUUAUAGAAAAAAUAAAAUUAGGUUAUGUAUUUUAAAUGUCUAAACCAAUGUAAAACUAAAGAACAAAUAUUCAACACUAUUAUCAUUCUUAGUGUUGAAUUAAUUUUUUUUGUUAGCAUCAAUAUUGAUUUGAGUUUUAUUAGAGUUACUAAUAUCUAUGAACAAUAAUUUUUUUUGAACUAUGAAAAAUUCUAAGUUUCAAAAACUUGAAAUAAUAUGUUAAAAGAUACUAAAAAAUUAUAAAAAAAGUAUAAGAAAUAUUUAGAAAUUAUAUCAAAGCAAAUACUUUUAUGUAUAAAAUAAAUUUAAAAAUUAUAUAUAAAAUAUCAUAUUGGUUUGAUCUUGGAUUAAAUUUUUUUAGUUAAAAUCAAAUCAAUCCAAGUAUAAUCGAAUUUCUUUUCCAAUACCAAACCAUUAGUUGAAUUUUUUUCCUAAUUUAACUUGAUUUGCGAUUUGAUACAAUAUUUUAUUUGAUUUUGUACCCCCCUUAACUCCCUGUAUAAAUAAGUAUUUACCUAAAAAUUAUGAGUUCAAUUGACUCAUCCCUAACUACUCCUAAGUCCUAAUAACUAUGGUUUCUUCUGCCUUAUGAGGCUACAUAUAAUAAUUCCCUUCGGUAUGAUUUGCAAACUUAUUUUUAGAAAUUAGUUAUAUACUCUAUAUGUGACGUUUGAUCUAUGGCCCUUAAAAUGUCACUUGCGGGGGAGUACUAUUGUAAAUAUUGAAAGGAACCUAAUUUAAAAUACCGUUUGUUCCUUCUCAAAUUAUCUGUCAUAAUUUUUAAAAAUACGUAUCUUAAAUUAUUCGUUGUUUUAAAAGAUUAAGAUAAACUUUGUAUCAAAAUGAAGUGAGUAUUGUUUUUUCAGUUUACCUCAGUAUUAUUGUUUGUAAAAACUACAAACAACUCAAUCUAUAGAGUAAUGUUAUGAUAAUUUAAAUAUCAAUAAAUUAAUAUUUUUUUAAAAGGCAUGUAAAAGAGAAUCACAAUAAAUAAUUUGAAGAGAUAAUUUGAACCGAUAGAAUAUCACAACAAAUAAUUUGGAUUUUGGAACCAAAACAAUUUUAAAAAAGGGAAAAUUAUAUGAAAUAGCAAACUAUUAAUUUAAAUUAAAUGUUAUAGUUAUAGUUUAAGUUUAUUUUAUUUGUAAAUCGCAGCAAACAUCCCAUUUUUGUCAUCUGAUUCGGUAUACAAUUAGCCAUUUUAUACAUUUCGGUAUAAACUAUAUAAAAUGUGUUUGUGUUUGUGUUUGUAUAAAGCGAGAGAAAAAUGUAUAUACAAAUACAAAUACAUAUAUUUUCGUCCUAUACACUUAUAAUUAUACAAUUACAGAUCUUAUUAUAUAAAUUACAAUGUAUAAAUAAAUUUAUACAAAAUUGAACAAUUUGUAUAAAAUUAGAUGUAUCUAACAAAUUAUACAAAUCAAAAGGUCCAUAGCAAACAUAAAAUUUGCUAUGGAGCCGAAUUAUGCAAAUUAUAGCUAUAACAUAUAAAUAUGAUUUUUAUAUUUGCUAUAUGUAAAAGUUGUUUUUAAAAAAAAAUUAGUAGUCUCCCACGUGGAGUUCUAUUACAAGUCUCAAUUUGCUAUGUUACAUUAAUGGGAGAUUCACAAAUCACAAUUAAUUACAUUUUCUGAACACCCCUACUCCCACCUAGCUAGCACCGCAUUAACAUUUGAAUUAAUUAGAAGCGGACAAUCAUGAACAGGAUUAUGGUUUUAGUGCAGAUGAAAACAAACUUUGUACUCCUCCGUCCAUUUUUAUUUGUCACUUCCUCCGUUUCAUUUUAUAUGUCAUUUUUUUUAUAAAUAUUUGGACCAUAAUACUUGUUAUUUUAUAAAAUUUAUGCAUAAAUUACCAUAUUUUGCCUAGUAUAUCCUUGAUAGAAUAGUUAAUUAAUCUUGAAAAUGUAUUCAUCAUUUAUUAUAAAGUUGACUUAAGAAAACAUUAAAUAAGGAUAGAAGGGUAAAAUUACAUUAUUUCUUAAUGCAAGUGCAAAGGAAAAACGUGACAUAUAAAAUGAGACGGAGGGAGUAUAUUAUAUUUUUGAUUUUUUAAAAGUCAAUUCAACUAACUUUCAAAAUUAAAUUAGAUUACAUUAAUUCGAUAUUUUAAACAAAAAAUUUAGAUAUUUAAAAAUUAUAUGAAAAGUAUUAUAAAUUUCAAUUUUUUGCAUAUCAAUAUGAUGAAACAUUAAAUUGUAAAAUGUCAAUCAAAGUUUUCAUAGUUUGACUCUAAAAGAGAAAACUAUGACAAUUAAAGUAAUUUUCCCUCUGUUACUUAUCAAUGAUUGGUAUAAUGAAUUUACCAUUUUACCUCUAUUAUUGAUAGAGUUUUAAACAUAUUUACUAACUACAUAUUUUAUUAAUGAACUCAAUGUAAAUAAAUUGAGGGUAUAAUAAAAAGAAAAAAAAUUAAAUUAAUUAAAAAUAAUAAAUAAAAAAGAAAAUUAAAUUAGAAAAUAUUUAACAAGUAAAUAAACACGGAAGGAAGGAGCGUAAAAUAGUUAAGAGUAAACUACCAUUCAUAUCCAUCAUUAUGAUUUAUGACCAACAAUCCUUUACAUUGAUGUUAUGUUACCCAUUUUCUGCGUAAAGACAAUUCAAUUAAACUAGCAGAUAAUACUGUUGAAGUUUAUGUGUUACAGUUCACACUAAUUGUUGGGGAAGCAUUAAGUAUGUUUAAACCAAUAACCAAUUUUAAUUUGUGGCAAAUAUAUAUUAUCCUUUUAUUCUUAAUCAAGAAGCUUGGUAUAUGAAUAUUUUUUUCUUAAAUAUAAACUUAAGUUAAUUAAAUCUCAAUACAAAUAAUAAAACGUUCAAUAAUAAAAAGUUACUAGUAGUUGAAGACCAAAAUCACGUAUCUAACAGUCAACUCCUACCGACCCCCCCCUCCCUCUCCCCACCCCCUGUCUUUGUUUGUUUUAUAUCCUUUAAUUCAUCUACACCCCACUCUUUAUCUCUCUUUCUUCUACAAUACACACACAGUCCUACACUCAAUAAACUCACAGAGAGAAAGAAAAAAAAAUCAACAUCCAUUUUAU